rnacentral:lncRNA from 1 species
AAUUAAAUGCAUUAAUUGAAUAGAGUGUGUUUAGUGAAUUUACCAGAAUCGUCCAGAAAACAUGGGAAACAGCAAGUGUUCUUGCAGACUGCGUCGGAGGCACCCGCACGAAUACAAAGCUGACAACAUAGUUUUGCCUGGGCGGAUGCGCAGCAGCCGCACUCCGCCGCGGUGGGGUUAACAUUGAGGCUCAAGAUGACCAGGCACAUGAUCACCAUCAAAGUGGUAGUCCUCUUUCCCUCCAUUGCCUCCUCUUAGCUUGCUGCUACCUUCCUUGGUUACCUAGCUAAGUUUAUUGGUUUUGUGUUGAGAGGUGUGAUUCUUGAAUGGACGUUGCCGGCGGCAAUUUAUAGGCAGCUGAGCUAUGUGAUGAUAUGGACUAGGUGCAAAUGGGUGGUUAAUGGCAAGGAAAGGGGCGUCAGACAAAGCCCAAUGGCAACUGCUGACAUGCGAUUAAAUUCAGAUCCACAUCCGGCCAUUCAAUAAUACGGUUGGAGUUGUGGCACAGAUAUAUUAUUGCAUGAUCAUCAAGAUAAGAUCGUACAGUGACUGAGUGAGACAAUAAAUAGCCAAGUAAACUAUUUUAUCCUGCUGCAAGCUGCAUUCAUAAGUUUAUUUCACCUUUGAUCACAAUACUCUUCACACACGUACGUCUCAGGGAGAUCUCACUUCCGCUGGACUGCUCACUUCCGCUGUCGUCGGUACUGCCAAAGACAUAAGCUCACAUCUGCUAUUGCGGAGCAGGCCAAUUUGCUGCGGAACUUCGGCGACGACCUGAAGGACAUGAACUCGGUGCUGGAGUCCAUCUCAGCAGCGCUCUAGGACGCUGACACCGGUAGAAAAACGACCUUCCAUCGUCAACAAAAAUCCCGGUAGCUUUUUUACUCGGUACUAAAGAGGUUUUAAUCUCGUGCAAACACCUUUAGUCCAGAUUGCUAUUACCACGCAACCCGGACUAAAGCGUCCCCCGCGAGUUAGUAUAUAAGGAUUGCAUCCUUUACUCAGUCAGAUAUAAUAUGUAGGUGAGAUGGUAAGGAAGCUAUGCGUGAGGCUUCAGGUUGUGGGUUCGAAUCCAAGUGGGUGCAGCUGUGGCUUAAGCGGCUGAGGCACGCCGCCAUAGACAUCUCAGAUUUGCUCGAAGACUACCAAGACACUAGUGAACCCUUAACAGUAAAGGUGAGUACUUAUGAAUGUCAGCAUCCAUGUUGUCCAUGCUUCCAAUGUAAUAACAAGAUGGACUACUCUUCCUAGCGGACUCUUCACAACCACUCGUAAAGCUAUGCGUUUCUCAAUGCAAUUUCGUAGAAGCCAAUCGAUCCAACCAAGUGACUAAAUCAUUCGUCCUUUCCAAUGAUGUGCAUCAGGUUUUCUAUAUGAAGGGCAUGUCUAGCAAACCUAAGAUUUCAGAAGAAAAAGAAAAAUCAUUGGAGCCAAAGAGCCACAUAGUUCUUCUAGGAAAAAAAUCAUGGGAGUCGAGAACAUAUCAAACCAAUCAGGGGAUUAUGGUCAGCUUAAUGGCAUGCCUCCAUUCGAUGUCGAAGUUCACCCAAGCAUCAUGUUAGCCAAACAUCAAAUGUUCGUGCGUUGUUACGGUAAAGAUCAAUUGUGUUUUUUAAACUCUUGGAAUUUUUUUAUCUAAGUUUUUAUUUACACUUAUUGGAUGUCUACACAUUUGCUAGAAAACUAAAAUAAUUUGGACUUAAUUAUUUCUUUCAACUGAAGUACUCACUAAAUUUCUACCUUUUUAUUUAAGCAAGAGAGUUGCUAAAAAAAAUGGAUACGUAACCAUGUUGUAUCAUACAAAGUAACCACGUUUCACAUAUAGUCCGGCUUAGCAAACACCAUUGUUUUCUGAACAUAGCGUACAUGAGUUAACAGACAUGGAUUUAUUUCUAUUGCAAGUAGCAUAGCGUACAACCUGCCUGCACCGAUGCAGCUCAAUAUGCGAUAAUUUUUAUCUUCCCAUGUAAUUUUUCUACUCUAGUACAUAUUGAACUCCACAUUAAUGUCAUGUUCUUUCGCGCCCCAGAAGGUUCCUAAAGUUUGGAAACUUAAUAGAUAGCCAGAAUUUUUUUUAAAGAUAUUUAUAUGGAUACUUGUAUGUUCUUUCCAAACUAACAAUAUUGUUUACCAAUAUCAGAAGGAAUAUGGUUAGGAGCCAUUGCCGCAUAUGGCAGGUGAUGGUAGAUGGCGUAUGGGGUUUCGUUAAUUUAAUGGUAUAAUAAGCUGAAAUACAUUUUCUAUUUGCAAAUGAAUCAUAGCUGAAAUUGGUGGGAUUGUUUUUUUCGCCGGUUUAGCAUCCUGUGCACCAGUUCAACCGGAGGGAAGCUGUUUUUUUUCUUUGGUUUUCCACCGGUUCACCGAGACCGAUGACAAUUUUAUGGCAGAAUCAUUACUUGUUUUACUAUUAGGUGAAGAUUUUAGCGUUUAGGUAUCUCACAUUAAACGCAACUUCAACAAUCUAUUUCUAGUGUAUAAUGUAGGAGACCCCGUAAAGAGUCUACACACACAUAUAUGUUGACUAUGAAUGUAAGUUUGUUGGUUUUAUGUAUGUUCGUUUGGAGUUUAUAUAAAUUUUACAUUUUAUAGUUUUGUGUAUAUGACGAAGAUCCAUGACUUGCAUUAAUUUAGCCUUUCUUCCAACAACUCUUAUGCAUGCUGUUUCUAGGCGAGCGUACUGGUUGCAAUUUUGGUCCCCGAUAUAGUGUGAGGACUUAAGGGACACGUGCAGGUCGUAACCUUAGAUAUUUUUGCUGAGAAUGGAUGAAGAAGCAAUAAUAUACUUUGCUUCUGAUUUUCUCCAUGUCAUUUGCUUACUCUUAUCCCUUUUAUUUAUCAUUAUAAGAUGAAAAUAUUGUAAAAACUUGGCUACGUGCGGUCGCAGAAGCUAGAGACUAAAGCGUCCCCCACGAGUUACUAUAUAAAAGGAUUGCAUCCUCUACUCAGUCAUAUGUACUGUGUAGGUGAGAUGGUAAGGAAGCUAUGUGUGAGGCUUGAGGUUGUAGGUUCGAAUCCCACGCACCGCGUGCGCAUGCGCAUAUUUUGCGUGAAAAAUCGCAUGACUUGUGGUCGGCCAAGGAGAAGUGCGUGCGGCUGAGGCACGCCGCCAUAGACAUCUCGGAUUUGCUCCAAGACUACCAAGACACUAGCGAACCCUUAACGGCAAAGUUGAGUACUUACGCGUGUUAGCAUCUAUGUUGUCCAUGCUUCCAAUGCAAUAACAAGAAGGGCUACUCAUCCUAGCGGAUUCUUCACAACCACUCGUAAAGCUAUGCGUUUCUCAAUGCAAUUUCGUAGAUGUCAAUCGAUCCAACCAAGCGACUGAAUCAUUCGUCCUUGCUAAUGAUGUGCAUCAGGUUUUCUAUAUGAAGAACAUGUCUAGCAAAUCCAAGAUUUCAGAAGAAAAAUAAAAAUCAUGAGAACCAAAGCACCACGUAGUUCUUCCAGGUAAAAAAAACAAUCAUCCACUGGGAUGACACACAGUAGCGAUCCAAAACGUCCAUAUUAAGACUUUUUGAUAGCAGAAAAAACAUGAAAAUGUCUAAUAUUUGUAGUAUUAAAAGGAAAAAUAAUAUAUUCACUUGACCUUUUUUUCGUAGCAACGCACCGGUGCGUAGUCAGACUUAGGCCACGUUUGGAUACUCCCUACUAAAGUUUAGCACCUGUCACAUAGGAUGUUUGGAUACUAAUUAGGAGUAUUAAACAUAGGCUAAUUAUAAAACUAAUUGAACAGAUGGAGUCUAAUUUGCGAGACGAAUCUAUUAAGCCUAACUAGUCCAUGAUUUGACAAUGUGGUGCUACAGUAACCAUUUGCUAAUGGUGGAUUAAUUAGGCUUAAUAGAUUCGUCUCGCGAAUUAACAUAGGGUUCUGCAAUUAAUUUUAUAAUUAGCUCAUGUCUAGUCCUUCUAAUUAGCAUCCGAACAUCUGAUAUGAUACUGCUAAAGUUUAUCACCUAGUAUCCAAAUACCCCCUUAAUGCACGAUGCCUGUGCAUCCACUGGGCCUACCCUCGUGGAUCACGCGCUCGUGGAUCACGCGCACCAUGACAUGGCUCAUUAGCUAGUCGUGCUAAUCCUUACCACCAAAUUAAAAACUAGCAUGUGUUGUGUGUUUGUGACCCUAAACGACUACCACCUUCCCGAGUCCACCGGAGUUGCCAGUUCACCACUAAGCUGACUCUCCGAGCUUCAUGUCACUGUCACCGCUCCAAAGACCUAGAUCGGUUCGCUGUGCACCCCGCUUCGUCCUGAGCUAAAUCCCAUCACGAAAGGUGACCGGAUGCUCGUUUUCGAGCGAAUUCUAGCGAGAUUGCCACCACCUUUCCCCUUCCAGCCGAUCGCAGCUGUCUGAUCACAAACCGACAGCCCAGAUCGGAUUUGACCAGGUCAAUACCGGUCAAGCCGAGAUGCAUGCUGCUUUUGCAAGAAGGCCCCUAUUUUUCUCUCUUUUUGCACUUGAGGUCCUACGCAGUUCAAAAGUAAUUAGAUCUAGAUCCUUUUUCUUCUGUUUUAGCCCUGUUCUUUUAUAAAAUCCCACCCGCCAUCCUGUUUGGUAUUUUGACAUGUUAGACCUUCUAUUUAUAUGUUUAAUUAGGUUUUAGCCCUUGGUUUCUUUAAGUUUAGCUCUUGGAAGUUUAGUUUUCUCGCAGUUAAGCCCCUGAACCUUGUUUAGUUCAUAUCUUUAGCGUUUUAAAUCCGUUUUAAGAGAUUCUUACGCCCAUAAGUUCGUGUUGAUGCAUAGAUUAGUUGACUUAUACGGACCUUGCUGAUUCAGCUCCUUCAUUGUGCUUCAGAUCUCGCUAGUGAAGAAUAAUGGAUGGGCUUUGGUUGAGCUUGUAGAUCGACCUGCAGUUGCAGUGAAUGUGCUGAGGACUGGCGGUACCAAUAAUGGGAGGCCGCUGCUCUGCUUGCUACCAAGGCCUGCGACGCUUGGACGCCAUUCAGAGUGCAUAAUUUCCAAGGAUCUCAAGGGCUCCACACCACGUUCCAAGUGUUUUUUCUUUGCCGAGUGUUUUUAGCUCGGCACUUGGCAAAGAGCUUGUUUGCCGAGUGUCCGAAAAAAACACUUGGCAAAGAGAAAACACUCGGCAAAUUUGAUGUUUCCCGUAGUGAUGUACUAUUCAAACUUGAACUGGGAUGCAGGCUUCAGUACCAAAGAGAGCUCUGGGCGCGGGUGAGCAGUGAGCUGGCCGGGCAGGGAGCUCCAAAGCGACAGCAACAAAGAGAGAAAUGCUAAGAGUAAGAACGACACACGAGGUCACUUCACAUAGAUAAUAGCAGUACGAACCAUACAAUAUCCUCUCUCAGUUUCACUCCGCCUCACACACGGCUAGCACACCAUGCAUGCCGAUUUCAUAUUAUUAAUAUUAUUUUUUGGAUGGUUGUUGAAACUAUAUAUAUAGUUAGUCCAAUCUCACGUUUCCGAUUAUAAAAAUCAACGUAAAGAGAUCGGAAGGGAGAGCCGGCAUAAUGAAGCCGACGCGUGUAAUAAGCACCAGAGCCGGCAUUUAUACAAACUGGUACGAAUAGUAAAAAACUAGAAUUUAUAAAUAAAAAAAUGAUUUGCACAUCUAUGCAAUAAUUAGGGGUUAGUGGCAGGUCUAGAGAGAUAUCUCAUCAUUAUAUCCGGUUUAACGAGGAUAAAAAAGAGUGUAUUUUCCACUCAUCAUGUUGUCUUUUCGCAGCGGUACCACUUUUCGUGUGUUGUAUCGGUCCCCUAAUACGGAGUCUCCGAGGCCCGAGAAAAUAAGGAAAGUGAUAGUAGCCCAGAAAUCGGCCAAGUUUCUUUCCCCUUUGGCUUUCCUACUAGGAUUCAGAAUCCUCUUUCGCAUGACAAUCUUAAUUAUCUCCCAUACUCCAAAACUCACAAAAACAUCAAGAUUCCGCUGAGAAUAAAUUUAAGUAAAAAACAUGCACACACAGAUAAUAAUAAUAAUCAUGUUUCCAUAAAAUUGCUAAGUCCAGAGAUAAUACAUAAACAUAGUAGACUGUUCAUGACACAUAUCACGGUGGACAGUGUUUGUGUCCUUAUUACAAGCAACGAGAGAUGCUCGUCACCAACACGCGCGCGCACAGAUGCACGACAUACAUAUAGUAGAGACCAACAGAUGGUCGUCCCAUAUGGUGAACAAUUUAUUGGGGAUAAAUAUUAACGUAACUUGGCCAUAGCUUGAAGCAUAGCAACAUAUGCCUAUGAGUGGCAUUCAUGCUAUCGUUUUAGGCUUGUCCAGCUCCUUCCAUCUUAGCAAGCACUUCCAUUUCUACCAUCUUAGCAGCAACUGUCAAAUUGAGAUACGGAAAUCCCAUUAGCGCAUGAGUUAAUUUUGCAGUGGAAAUAGAGUACAAGAUGUCUUCAUGAUGUAAGUAAUAUGCCUGAAGUUGUGAGAUGGGAAGUGAAGUCAACAAAUUACAUUAACGGAAAUGCAUGGAAGGCCACACAUACGUAUUAGUCCAUGAUAUGCUACAAAGCUUGUAUGUACAUAUAGCAAAUUAAAUGCAUUAAUUGAAUAGAGUGUGUUUAGUGAAUUUACCAGAAUCGUCCAGAAAACAUGGGAAACAGCAAGUGUUCUUGCAGACUGCGUCGGAGGCACCCGCACGAAUACAAAGCUGACAACAUAGUUUUGCCUGGGCGGAUGCGCAGCAGCCGCACUCCGCCGCGGUGGGGUUAACAUUGAGGCUCAAGAUGACCAGGCACAUGAUCACCAUCAAAGUGGUAGUCCUCUUUCCCUCCAUUGCCUCCUCUUAGCUUGCUGCUACCUUCCUUGGUUACCUAGCUAAGUUUAUUGGUUUUGUGUUGAGAGGUGUGAUUUUUGAAUGGACGUUGCCGGCGGCAAUUUAUAGGCAGCUGAGCUAUGUGAUGAUAUGGACUAGGUGCAAAUGGGUGGUUAAUGGCAAGGAAAGGGGCGUCAGACAAAGCCCAAUGGCAACUGCUGACAUGCGAUUAAAUUCAGAUCCACAUCCGGCCAUUCAAUAAUACGGUUGGAGUUGUGGCACAGAUAUAUUAUUGCAUGAUCAUCAAGAUAAGAUCGUACAGUGACUGAGUGAGACAAUAAAUAGCCAAGUAAACUAUUUUAUCCUGCUGCAAGCUGCAUUCAUAAGUUUAUUUCACCUUUGAUCACAAUACUCUUCACACACGUACGUCUCAGGGAGAUCUCACUUCCGCUGGACUGCUCACUUCCGCUGUCGUCGGUACUGCCAAAGACAUAAGCUCACAUCUGCUAUUGCGGAGCAGGCCAAUUUGCUGCGGAACUUCGGCGACGACCUGAAGGACAUGAACUCGGUGCUGGAGUCCAUCUCAGCAGCGCUCUAGGACGCUGACACCGGUAGAAAAACGACCUUCCAUCGUCAACAAAAAUCCCGGUAGCUUUUUUACUCGGUACUAAAGAGGUUUUAAUCUCGUGCAAACACCUUUAGUCCAGAUUGCUAUUACCACGCAACCCGGACUAAAGCGUCCCCCGCGAGUUAGUAUAUAAGGAUUGCAUCCUUUACUCAGUCAGAUAUAAUAUGUAGGUGAGAUGGUAAGGAAGCUAUGCGUGAGGCUUCAGGUUGUGGGUUCGAAUCCAAGUGGGUGCAGCUGUGGCUUAAGCGGCUGAGGCACGCCGCCAUAGACAUCUCAGAUUUGCUCGAAGACUACCAAGACACUAGUGAACCCUUAACAGUAAAGGUGAGUACUUAUGAAUGUCAGCAUCCAUGUUGUCCAUGCUUCCAAUGUAAUAACAAGAUGGACUACUCUUCCUAGCGGACUCUUCACAACCACUCGUAAAGCUAUGCGUUUCUCAAUGCAAUUUCGUAGAAGCCAAUCGAUCCAACCAAGUGACUAAAUCAUUCGUCCUUUCCAAUGAUGUGCAUCAGGUUUUCUAUAUGAAGGGCAUGUCUAGCAAACCUAAGAUUUCAGAAGAAAAAGAAAAAUCAUUGGAGCCAAAGAGCCACAUAGUUCUUCUAGGAAAAAAAUCAUGGGAGUCGAGAACAUAUCAAACCAAUCAGGGGAUUAUGGUCAGCUUAAUGGCAUGCCUCCAUUCGAUGUCGAAGUUCACCCAAGCAUCAUGUUAGCCAAACAUCAAAUGUUCGUGCGUUGUUACGGUAAAGAUCAAUUGUGUUUUUUAAACUCUUGGAAUUUUUUUAUCUAAGUUUUUAUUUACACUUAUUGGAUGUCUACACAUUUGCUAGAAAACUAAAAUAAUUUGGACUUAAUUAUUUCUUUCAACUGAAGUACUCACUAAAUUUCUACCUUUUUAUUUAAGCAAGAGAGUUGCUAAAAAAAAUGGAUACGUAACCAUGUUGUAUCAUACAAAGUAACCACGUUUCACAUAUAGUCCGGCUUAGCAAACACCAUUGUUUUCUGAACAUAGCGUACAUGAGUUAACAGACAUGGAUUUAUUUCUAUUGCAAGUAGCAUAGCGUACAACCUGCCUGCACCGAUGCAGCUCAAUAUGCGAUAAUUUUUAUCUUCCCAUGUAAUUUUUCUACUCUAGUACAUAUUGAACUCCACAUUAAUGUCAUGUUCUUUCGCGCCCCAGAAGGUUCCUAAAGUUUGGAAACUUAAUAGAUAGCCAGAAUUUUUUUUAAAGAUAUUUAUAUGGAUACUUGUAUGUUCUUUCCAAACUAACAAUAUUGUUUACCAAUAUCAGAAGGAAUAUGGUUAGGAGCCAUUGCCGCAUAUGGCAGGUGAUGGUAGAUGGCGUAUGGGGUUUCGUUAAUUUAAUGGUAUAAUAAGCUGAAAUACAUUUUCUAUUUGCAAAUGAAUCAUAGCUGAAAUUGGUGGGAUUGUUUUUUCGCCGGUUUAGCAUCCUGUGCACCAGUUCAACCGGAGGGAAGCUGUUUUUUUUCUUUGGUUUUCCACCGGUUCACCGAGACCGAUGACAAUUUUAUGGCAGAAUCAUUACUUGUUUUACUAUUAGGUGAAGAUUUUAGCGUUUAGGUAUCUCACAUUAAACGCAACUUCAACAAUCUAUUUCUAGUGUAUAAUGUAGGAGACCCCGUAAAGAGUCUACACACACAUAUAUGUUGACUAUGAAUGUAAGUUUGUUGGUUUUAUGUAUGUUCGUUUGGAGUUUAUAUAAAUUUUACAUUUUAUAGUUUUGUGUAUAUGACGAAGAUCCAUGACUUGCAUUAAUUUAGCCUUUCUUCCAACAACUCUUAUGCAUGCUGUUUCUAGGCGAGCGUACUGGUUGCAAUUUUGGUCCCCGAUAUAGUGUGAGGACUUAAGGGACACGUGCAGGUCGUAACCUUAGAUAUUUUUGCUGAGAAUGGAUGAAGAAGCAAUAAUAUACUUUGCUUCUGAUUUUCUCCAUGUCAUUUGCUUACUCUUAUCCCUUUUAUUUAUCAUUAUAAGAUGAAAAUAUUGUAAAAACUUGGCUACGUGCGGUCGCAGAAGCUAGAGACUAAAGCGUCCCCCACGAGUUACUAUAUAAAAGGAUUGCAUCCUCUACUCAGUCAUAUGUACUGUGUAGGUGAGAUGGUAAGGAAGCUAUGUGUGAGGCUUGAGGUUGUAGGUUCGAAUCCCACGCACCGCGUGCGCAUGCGCAUAUUUUGCGUGAAAAAUCGCAUGACUUGUGGUCGGCCAAGGAGAAGUGCGUGCGGCUGAGGCACGCCGCCAUAGACAUCUCGGAUUUGCUCCAAGACUACCAAGACACUAGCGAACCCUUAACGGCAAAGUUGAGUACUUACGCGUGUUAGCAUCUAUGUUGUCCAUGCUUCCAAUGCAAUAACAAGAAGGGCUACUCAUCCUAGCGGAUUCUUCACAACCACUCGUAAAGCUAUGCGUUUCUCAAUGCAAUUUCGUAGAUGUCAAUCGAUCCAACCAAGCGACUGAAUCAUUCGUCCUUGCUAAUGAUGUGCAUCAGGUUUUCUAUAUGAAGAACAUGUCUAGCAAAUCCAAGAUUUCAGAAGAAAAAUAAAAAUCAUGAGAACCAAAGCACCACGUAGUUCUUCCAGGUAAAAAAAACAAUCAUCCACUGGGAUGACACACAGUAGCGAUCCAAAACGUCCAUAUUAAGACUUUUUGAUAGCAGAAAAAACAUGAAAAUGUCUAAUAUUUGUAGUAUUAAAAGGAAAAAUAAUAUAUUCACUUGACCUUUUUUUCGUAGCAACGCACCGGUGCGUAGUCAGACUUAGGCCACGUUUGGAUACUCCCUACUAAAGUUUAGCACCUGUCACAUAGGAUGUUUGGAUACUAAUUAGGAGUAUUAAACAUAGGCUAAUUAUAAAACUAAUUGAAUAGAUGGAGUCUAAUUUGCGAGACGAAUCUAUUAAGCCUAACUAGUCCAUGAUUUGACAAUGUGGUGCUACAGUAACCAUUUGCUAAUGGUGGAUUAAUUAGGCUUAAUAGAUUCGUCUCGCGAAUUAACAUAGGGUUCUGCAAUUAAUUUUAUAAUUAGCUCAUGUCUAGUCCUUCUAAUUAGCAUCCGAACAUCUGAUAUGAUACUGCUAAAGUUUAUCACCUAGUAUCCAAAUACCCCCUUAAUGCACGAUGCCUGUGCAUCCACUGGGCCUACCCUCGUGGAUCACGCGCUCGUGGAUCACGCGCACCAUGACAUGGCUCAUUAGCUAGUCGUGCUAAUCCUUACCACCAAAUUAAAAACUAGCAUGUGUUGUGUGUUUGUGACCCUAAACGACUACCACCUUCCCGAGUCCACCGGAGUUGCCAGUUCACCACUAAGCUGACUCUCCGAGCUUCAUGUCACUGUCACCGCUCCAAAGACCUAGAUCGGUUCGCUGUGCACCCCGCUUCGUCCUGAGCUAAAUCCCAUCACGAAAGGUGACCGGAUGCUCGUUUUCGAGCGAAUUCUAGCGAGAUUGCCACCACCUUUCCCCUUCCAGCCGAUCGCAGCUGUCUGAUCACAAACCGACAGCCCAGAUCGGAUUUGACCAGGUCAAUACCGGUCAAGCCGAGAUGCAUGCUGCUUUUGCAAGAAGGCCCCUAUUUUUCUCUCGUUUUGCACUUGAGGUCCUACGCAGUUCAAAAGUAAUUAGAUCUAGAUCCUUUUUCUUCUGUUUUAGCCCUGUUCUUUUAUAAAAUCCCACCCGCCAUCCUGUUUGGUAUUUUGACAUGUUAGACCUUCUAUUUAUAUGUUUAAUUAGGUUUUAGCCCUUGGUUUCUUUAAGUUUAGCUCUUGGAAGUUUAGUUUUCUCGCAGUUAAGCCCCUGAACCUUGUUUAGUUCAUAUCUUUAGCGUUUUAAAUCCGUUUUAAGAGAUUCUUACGCCCAUAAGUUCGUGUUGAUGCAUAGAUUAGUUGACUUAUACGGACCUUGCUGAUUCAGCUCCUUCAUUGUGCUUCAGAUCUCGCUAGUGAAGAAUAAUGGAUGGGCUUUGGUUGAGCUUGUAGAUCGACCUGCAGUUGCAGUGAAUGUGCUGAGGACUGGCGGUACCAAUAAUGGGAGGCCGCUGCUCUGCUUGCUACCAAGGCCUGCGACGCUUGGACGCCAUUCAGAGUGCAUAAUUUCCAAGGAUCUCAAGGGCUCCACACCACGUUCCAAGUGUUUUUUCUUUGCCGAGUGUUUUUAGCUCGGCACUUGGCAAAGAGCUUGUUUGCCGAGUGUCCGAAAAAAACACUUGGCAAAGAGAAAACACUCGGCAAAUUUGAUGUUUCCCGUAGUGAUGUACUAUUCAAACUUGAACUGGGAUGCAGGCUUCAGUACCAAAGAGAGCUCUGGGCGCGGGUGAGCAGUGAGCUGGCCGGGCAGGGAGCUCCAAAGCGACAGCAACAAAGAGAGAAAUGCUAAGAGUAAGAACGACACACGAGGUCACUUCACAUAGAUAAUAGCAGUACGAACCAUACAAUAUCCUCUCUCAGUUUCACUCCGCCUCACACACGGCUAGCACACCAUGCAUGCCGAUUUCAUAUUAUUAAUAUUAUUUUUUGGAUGGUUGUUGAAACUAUAUAUAUAGUUAGUCCAAUCUCACGUUUCCGAUUAUAAAAAUCAACGUAAAGAGAUCGGUAGGGAGAGCCGGCAUAAUGAAGCCGACGCGUGUAAUAAGCACCAGAGCCGGCAUUUAUACAAACUGGUACGAAUAGUAAAAAACUAGAAUUUAUAAAUAAAAAAAUGAUUUGCACAUCUAUGCAAUAAUUAGGGGUUAGUGGCAGGUCUAGAGAGAUAUCUCAUCAUUAUAUCCGGUUUAACGAGGAUAAAAAAGAGUGUAUUUUCCACUCAUCAUGUUGUCUUUUCGCAGCGGUACCACUUUUCGUGUGUUGUAUCGGUCCCCUAAUACGGAGUCUCCGAGGCCCGAGAAAAUAAGGAAAGUGAUAGUAGCCCAGAAAUCGGCCAAGUUUCUUUCCCCUUUGGCUUUCCUACUAGGAUUCAGAAUCCUCUUUCGCAUGACAAUCUUAAUUAUCUCCCAUACUCCAAAACUCACAAAAACAUCAAGAGUCCGCUGAGAAUAAAUUUAAGUAAAAAACAUGCACACACAGAUAAUAAUAAUAAUCAUGUUUCCAUAAAAUUGCUAAGUCCAGAGAUAAUACAUAAACAUAGUAGACUGUUCAUGACACAUAUCACGGUGGACAGUGUUUGUGUCCUUAUUACAAGCAACGAGAGAUGCUCGUCACCAACACGCGCGCGCACAGAUGCACGACAUACAUAUAGUAGAGACCAACAGAUGGUCGUCCCAUAUGGUGAACAAUUUAUUGGAGAUAAAUAUUAACGUAACUUGGCCAUAGCUUGAAGCAUAGCAACAUAUGCCUAUGAGUGGCAUUCAUGCUAUCGUUUUAGGCUUGUCCAGCUCCUUCCAUCUUAGCAAGCACUUCCAUUUCUACCAUCUUAGCAGCAACUGUCAAAUUGAGAUACGGAAAUCCCAUUAGCGCAUGAGUUAAUUUUGCAGUGGAAAUAGAGUACAAGAUGUCUUCAUGAUGUAAGUAAUAUGCCUGAAGUUGUGAGAUGGGAAGUGAAGUCAACAAAUUACAUUAACGGAAAUGCAUGGAAGGCCACACAUACGUAUUAGUCCAUGAUAUGCUACAAAGCUUGUAUGUACAUAUAGCAAAUUAAAUGCAUUAAUUGAAUAGAGUGUGUUUAGUGAAUUUACCAGAAUCGUCCAGAAAACAUGGGAAACAGCAAGUGUUCUUGCAGACUGCGUCGGAGGCACCCGCACGAAUACAAAGCUGACAACAUAGUUUUGCCUGGGCGGAUGCGCAGCAGCCGCACUCCGCCGCGGUGGGGUUAACAUUGAGGCUCAAGAUGACCAGGCACAUGAUCACCAUCAAAGUGGUAGUCCUCUUUCCCUCCAUUGCCUCCUCUUAGCUUGCUGCUACCUUCCUUGGUUACCUAGCUAAGUUUAUUGGUUUUGUGUUGAGAGGUGUGAUUCUUGAAUGGACGUUGCCGGCGGCAAUUUAUAGGCAGCUGAGCUAUGUGAUGAUAUGGACUAGGUGCAAAUGGGUGGUUAAUGGCAAGGAAAGGGGCGUCAGACAAAGCCCAAUGGCAACUGCUGACAUGCGAUUAAAUUCAGAUCCACAUCCGGCCAUUCAAUAAUACGGUUGGAGUUGUGGCACAGAUAUAUUAUUGCAUGAUCAUCAAGAUAAGAUCGUACAGUGACUGAGUGAGACAAUAAAUAGCCAAGUAAACUAUUUUAUCCUGCUGCAAGCUGCAUUCAUAAGUUUAUUUCACCUUUGAUCACAAUACUCUUCACACACGUACGUCUCAGGGAGAUCUCACUUCCGCUGGACUGCUCACUUCCGCUGUCGUCGGUACUGCCAAAGACAUAAGCUCACAUCUGCUAUUGCGGAGCAGGCCAAUUUGCUGCGGAACUUCGGCGACGACCUGAAGGACAUGAACUCGGUGCUGGAGUCCAUCUCAGCAGCGCUCUAGGACGCUGACACCGGUAGAAAAACGACCUUCCAUCGUCAACAAAAAUCCCGGUAGCUUUUUUACUCGGUACUAAAGAGGUUUUAAUCUCGUGCAAACACCUUUAGUCCAGAUUGCUAUUACCACGCAACCCGGACUAAAGCGUCCCCCGCGAGUUAGUAUAUAAGGAUUGCAUCCUUUACUCAGUCAGAUAUAAUAUGUAGGUGAGAUGGUAAGGAAGCUAUGCGUGAGGCUUCAGGUUGUGGGUUCGAAUCCAAGUGGGUGCAGCUGUGGCUUAAGCGGCUGAGGCACGCCGCCAUAGACAUCUCAGAUUUGCUCGAAGACUACCAAGACACUAGUGAACCCUUAACAGUAAAGGUGAGUACUUAUGAAUGUCAGCAUCCAUGUUGUCCAUGCUUCCAAUGUAAUAACAAGAUGGACUACUCUUCCUAGCGGACUCUUCACAACCACUCGUAAAGCUAUGCGUUUCUCAAUGCAAUUUCGUAGAAGCCAAUCGAUCCAACCAAGUGACUAAAUCAUUCGUCCUUUCCAAUGAUGUGCAUCAGGUUUUCUAUAUGAAGGGCAUGUCUAGCAAACCUAAGAUUUCAGAAGAAAAAGAAAAAUCAUUGGAGCCAAAGAGCCACAUAGUUCUUCUAGGAAAAAAAUCAUGGGAGUCGAGAACAUAUCAAACCAAUCAGGGGAUUAUGGUCAGCUUAAUGGCAUGCCUCCAUUCGAUGUCGAAGUUCACCCAAGCAUCAUGUUAGCCAAACAUCAAAUGUUCGUGCGUUGUUACGGUAAAGAUCAAUUGUGUUUUUUAAACUCUUGGAAUUUUUUUAUCUAAGUUUUUAUUUACACUUAUUGGAUGUCUACACAUUUGCUAGAAAACUAAAAUAAUUUGGACUUAAUUAUUUCUUUCAACUGAAGUACUCACUAAAUUUCUACCUUUUUAUUUAAGCAAGAGAGUUGCUAAAAAAAAUGGAUACGUAACCAUGUUGUAUCAUACAAAGUAACCACGUUUCACAUAUAGUCCGGCUUAGCAAACACCAUUGUUUUCUGAACAUAGCGUACAUGAGUUAACAGACAUGGAUUUAUUUCUAUUGCAAGUAGCAUAGCGUACAACCUGCCUGCACCGAUGCAGCUCAAUAUGCGAUAAUUUUUAUCUUCCCAUGUAAUUUUUCUACUCUAGUACAUAUUGAACUCCACAUUAAUGUCAUGUUCUUUCGCGCCCCAGAAGGUUCCUAAAGUUUGGAAACUUAAUAGAUAGCCAGAAUUUUUUUUAAAGAUAUUUAUAUGGAUACUUGUAUGUUCUUUCCAAACUAACAAUAUUGUUUACCAAUAUCAGAAGGAAUAUGGUUAGGAGCCAUUGCCGCAUAUGGCAGGUGAUGGUAGAUGGCGUAUGGGGUUUCGUUAAUUUAAUGGUAUAAUAAGCUGAAAUACAUUUUCUAUUUGCAAAUGAAUCAUAGCUGAAAUUGGUGGGAUUGUUUUUUCGCCGGUUUAGCAUCCUGUGCACCAGUUCAACCGGAGGGAAGCUGUUUUUUUUCUUUGGUUUUCCACCGGUUCACCGAGACCGAUGACAAUUUUAUGGCAGAAUCAUUACUUGUUUUACUAUUAGGUGAAGAUUUUAGCGUUUAGGUAUCUCACAUUAAACGCAACUUCAACAAUCUAUUUCUAGUGUAUAAUGUAGGAGACCCCGUAAAGAGUCUACACACACAUAUAUGUUGACUAUGAAUGUAAGUUUGUUGGUUUUAUGUAUGUUCGUUUGGAGUUUAUAUAAAUUUUACAUUUUAUAGUUUUGUGUAUAUGACGAAGAUCCAUGACUUGCAUUAAUUUAGCCUUUCUUCCAACAACUCUUAUGCAUGAUGUUUCUAGGCGAGCGUACUGGUUGCAAUUUUGGUCCCCGAUAUAGUGUGAGGACUUAAGGGACACGUGCAGGUCGUAACCUUAGAUAUUUUUGCUGAGAAUGGAUGAAGAAGCAAUAAUAUACUUUGCUUCUGAUUUUCUCCAUGUCAUUUGCUUACUCUUAUCCCUUUUAUUUAUCAUUAUAAGAUGAAAAUAUUGUAAAAACUUGGCUACGUGCGGUCGCAGAAGCUAGAGACUAAAGCGUCCCCCACGAGUUACUAUAUAAAAGGAUUGCAUCCUCUACUCAGUCAUAUGUACUGUGUAGGUGAGAUGGUAAGGAAGCUAUGUGUGAGGCUUGAGGUUGUAGGUUCGAAUCCCACGCACCGCGUGCGCAUGCGCAUAUUUUGCGUGAAAAAUCGCAUGACUUGUGGUCGGCCAAGGAGAAGUGCGUGCGGCUGAGGCACGCCGCCAUAGACAUCUCGGAUUUGCUCCAAGACUACCAAGACACUAGCGAACCCUUAACGGCAAAGUUGAGUACUUACGCGUGUUAGCAUCUAUGUUGUCCAUGCUUCCAAUGCAAUAACAAGAAGGGCUACUCAUCCUAGCGGAUUCUUCACAACCACUCGUAAAGCUAUGCGUUUCUCAAUGCAAUUUCGUAGAUGUCAAUCGAUCCAACCAAGCGACUGAAUCAUUCGUCCUUGCUAAUGAUGUGCAUCAGGUUUUCUAUAUGAAGAACAUGUCUAGCAAAUCCAAGAUUUCAGAAGAAAAAUAAAAAUCAUGAGAACCAAAGCACCACGUAGUUCUUCCAGGUAAAAAAAACAAUCAUCCACUGGGAUGACACACAGUAGCGAUCCAAAACGUCCAUAUUAAGACUUUUUGAUAGCAGAAAAAACAUGAAAAUGUCUAAUAUUUGUAGUAUUAAAAGGAAAAAUAAUAUAUUCACUUGACCUUUUUUUCGUAGCAACGCACCGGUGCGUAGUCAGACUUAGGCCACGUUUGGAUACUCCCUACUAAAGUUUAGCACCUGUCACAUAGGAUGUUUGGAUACUAAUUAGGAGUAUUAAACAUAGGCUAAUUAUAAAACUAAUUGAACAGAUGGAGUCUAAUUUGCGAGACGAAUCUAUUAAGCCUAACUAGUCCAUGAUUUGACAAUGUGGUGCUACAGUAACCAUUUGCUAAUGGUGGAUUAAUUAGGCUUAAUAGAUUCGUCUCGCGAAUUAACAUAGGGUUCUGCAAUUAAUUUUAUAAUUAGCUCAUGUCUAGUCCUUCUAAUUAGCAUCCGAACAUCUGAUAUGAUACUGCUAAAGUUUAUCACCUAGUAUCCAAAUACCCCCUUAAUGCACGAUGCCUGUGCAUCCACUGGGCCUACCCUCGUGGAUCACGCGCUCGUGGAUCACGCGCACCAUGACAUGGCUCAUUAGCUAGUCGUGCUAAUCCUUACCACCAAAUUAAAAACUAGCAUGUGUUGUGUGUUUGUGACCCUAAACGACUACCACCUUCCCGAGUCCACCGGAGUUGCCAGUUCACCACUAAGCUGACUCUCCGAGCUUCAUGUCACUGUCACCGCUCCAAAGACCUAGAUCGGUUCGCUGUGCACCCCGCUUCGUCCUGAGCUAAAUCCCAUCACGAAAGGUGACCGGAUGCUCGUUUUCGAGCGAAUUCUAGCGAGAUUGCCACCACCUUUCCCCUUCCAGCCGAUCGCAGCUGUCUGAUCACAAACCGACAGCCCAGAUCGGAUUUGACCAGGUCAAUACCGGUCAAGCCGAGAUGCAUGCUGCUUUUGCAAGAAGGCCCCUAUUUUUCUCUCUUUUUGCACUUGAGGUCCUACGCAGUUCAAAAGUAAUUAGAUCUAGAUCCUUUUUCUUCUGUUUUAGCCCUGUUCUUUUAUAAAAUCCCACCCGCCAUCCUGUUUGGUAUUUUGACAUGUUAGACCUUCUAUUUAUAUGUUUAAUUAGGUUUUAGCCCUUGGUUUCUUUAAGUUUAGCUCUUGGAAGUUUAGUUUUCUCGCAGUUAAGCCCCUGAACCUUGUUUAGUUCAUAUCUUUAGCGUUUUAAAUCCGUUUUAAGAGAUUCUUACGCCCAUAAGUUCGUGUUGAUGCAUAGAUUAGUUGACUUAUACGGACCUUGCUGAUUCAGCUCCUUCAUUGUGCUUCAGAUCUCGCUAGUGAAGAAUAAUGGAUGGGCUUUGGUUGAGCUUGUAGAUCGACCUGCAGUUGCAGUGAAUGUGCUGAGGACUGGCGGUACCAAUAAUGGGAGGCCGCUGCUCUGCUUGCUACCAAGGCCUGCGACGCUUGGACGCCAUUCAGAGUGCAUAAUUUCCAAGGAUCUCAAGGGCUCCACACCACGUUCCAAGUGUUUUUUCUUUGCCGAGUGUUUUUAGCUCGGCACUUGGCAAAGAGCUUGUUUGCCGAGUGUCCGAAAAAAACACUUGGCAAAGAGAAAACACUCGGCAAAUUUGAUGUUUCCCGUAGUGAUGUACUAUUCAAACUUGAACUGGGAUGCAGGCUUCAGUACCAAAGAGAGCUCUGGGCGCGGGUGAGCAGUGAGCUGGCCGGGCAGGGAGCUCCAAAGCGACAGCAACAAAGAGAGAAAUGCUAAGAGUAAGAACGACACACGAGGUCACUUCACAUAGAUAAUAGCAGUACGAACCAUACAAUAUCCUCUCUCAGUUUCACUCCGCCUCACACACGGCUAGCACACCAUGCAUGCCGAUUUCAUAUUAUUAAUAUUAUUUUUUGGAUGGUUGUUGAAACUAUAUAUAUAGUUAGUCCAAUCUCACGUUUCCGAUUAUAAAAAUCAACGUAAAGAGAUCGGUAGGGAGAGCCGGCAUAAUGAAGCCGACGCGUGUAAUAAGCACCAGAGCCGGCAUUUAUACAAACUGGUACGAAUAGUAAAAAACUAGAAUUUAUAAAUAAAAAAAUGAUUUGCACAUCUAUGCAAUAAUUAGGGGUUAGUGGCAGGUCUAGAGAGAUAUCUCAUCAUUAUAUCCGGUUUAACGAGGAUAAAAAAGAGUGUAUUUUCCACUCAUCAUGUUGUCUUUUCGCAGCGGUACCACUUUUCGUGUGUUGUAUCGGUCCCCUAAUACGGAGUCUCCGAGGCCCGAGAAAAUAAGGAAAGUGAUAGUAGCCCAGAAAUCGGCCAAGUUUCUUUCCCCUUUGGCUUUCCUACUAGGAUUCAGAAUCCUCUUUCGCAUGACAAUCUUAAUUAUCUCCCAUACUCCAAAACUCACAAAAACAUCAAGAGUCCGCUGAGAAUAAAUUUAAGUAAAAAACAUGCACACACAGAUAAUAAUAAUAAUCAUGUUUCCAUAAAAUUGCUAAGUCCAGAGAUAAUACAUAAACAUAGUAGACUGUUCAUGACACAUAUCACGGUGGACAGUGUUUGUGUCCUUAUUACAAGCAACGAGAGAUGCUCGUCACCAACACGCGCGCGCACAGAUGCACGACAUACAUAUAGUAGAGACCAACAGAUGGUCGUCCCAUAUGGUGAACAAUUUAUUGGAGAUAAAUAUUAACGUAACUUGGCCAUAGCUUGAAGCAUAGCAACAUAUGCCUAUGAGUGGCAUUCAUGCUAUCGUUUUAGGCUUGUCCAGCUCCUUCCAUCUUAGCAAGCACUUCCAUUUCUACCAUCUUAGCAGCAACUGUCAAAUUGAGAUACGGAAAUCCCAUUAGCGCAUGAGUUAAUUUUGCAGUGGAAAUAGAGUACAAGAUGUCUUCAUGAUGUAAGUAAUAUGCCUGAAGUUGUGAGAUGGGAAGUGAAGUCAACAAAUUACAUUAACGGAAAUGCAUGGAAGGCCACACAUACGUAUUAGUCCAUGAUAUGCUACAAAGCUUGUAUGUACAUAUAGCAAAUUAAAUGCAUUAAUUGAAUAGAGUGUGUUUAGUGAAUUUACCAGAAUCGUCCAGAAAACAUGGGAAACAGCAAGUGUUCUUGCAGACUGCGUCGGAGGCACCCGCACGAAUACAAAGCUGACAACAUAGUUUUGCCUGGGCGGAUGCGCAGCAGCCGCACUCCGCCGCGGUGGGGUUAACAUUGAGGCUCAAGAUGACCAGGCACAUGAUCACCAUCAAAGUGGUAGUCCUCUUUCCCUCCAUUGCCUCCUCUUAGCUUGCUGCUACCUUCCUUGGUUACCUAGCUAAGUUUAUUGGUUUUGUGUUGAGAGGUGUGAUUCUUGAAUGGACGUUGCCGGCGGCAAUUUAUAGGCAGCUGAGCUAUGUGAUGAUAUGGACUAGGUGCAAAUGGGUGGUUAAUGGCAAGGAAAGGGGCGUCAGACAAAGCCCAAUGGCAACUGCUGACAUGCGAUUAAAUUCAGAUCCACAUCCGGCCAUUCAAUAAUACGGUUGGAGUUGUGGCACAGAUAUAUUAUUGCAUGAUCAUCAAGAUAAGAUCGUACAGUGACUGAGUGAGACAAUAAAUAGCCAAGUAAACUAUUUUAUCCUGCUGCAAGCUGCAUUCAUAAGUUUAUUUCACCUUUGAUCACAAUACUCUUCACACACGUACGUCUCAGGGAGAUCUCACUUCCGCUGGACUGCUCACUUCCGCUGUCGUCGGUACUGCCAAAGACAUAAGCUCACAUCUGCUAUUGCGGAGCAGGCCAAUUUGCUGCGGAACUUCGGCGACGACCUGAAGGACAUGAACUCGGUGCUGGAGUCCAUCUCAGCAGCGCUCUAGGACGCUGACACCGGUAGAAAAACGACCUUCCAUCGUCAACAAAAAUCCCGGUAGCUUUUUUACUCGGUACUAAAGAGGUUUUAAUCUCGUGCAAACACCUUUAGUCCGGAUUGCUGUUACCACGCAACCCGAACUAAAGCGUCCCCCACGAGUUACUAUAUAAGGAUUGCAUCCUUUACUCAGUCAGAUAUAAUGUGUAGGUGAGAUGGUAAGGAAGCUAUACGUGAGGCUUCAGGUUGUGGGUUCGAAUCCAAGGAGAAGUGGGUGCAGCUGUGGCUUAAGCGGCUGAGGCACGCCGCCAUAGACAUCUCAGAUUUGCUCGAAGACUACCAAGACACUAGUGAACCCUUAACAGUAAAGGUGAGUACUUAUGAAUGUCAGCAUCCAUGUUGUCCAUGCUUCCAAUGUAAUAACAAGAUGGACUACUCUUCCUAGCGGACUCUUCACAACCACUCGUAAAGCUAUACGUUUCUCAAUGCAAUUUCGUAGAAGCCAAUCGAUCCAACCAAGUGACUAAAUCAUUCAUCCUUUCCAAUGAUGUGCAUCAGGUUUUCUACAUGAAGGGCAUCUCUAGCAAACCCAAGAUUUCAGAAGAAAAAGAAAAAUCAUUGGAGCCAAAGAGCCACAUAGUUCUUCCAGGAAAAAAAAAUCAUGGGAGUCGAGAACAAAUCAAACCAAUCAGAGGAUUAUGGUCAGCUUAAUGGCAUGCCUCCAUUCGAUGUCGAAGUUCACCCAAGCAUCAUGUUAGCCAAACAUCAAAUGUUCGUGCGUUGUUACGGUAAAGAUCAAUUGUGUUUUUUAAACUCAUGGAAUUUUUUUUCUAAGUUUUUAUUACACUUAUUGGAUGUCUACACAUUUGCUAGAAAACCAAAAUAAUUUGGACUUAAUUAUUUCUUUCAACUGAAGUACUCACUAAAUUUCUACCUUUUUAUUUAAGCAAGAGAGUUGCUAAAAAAAAUGGAUACAUAACCAUGUUGUAUCGUACAAAGCAACCACAUUUCACAUAUAGUCCGGCUUACCAAACACCAUUUUUUACUGAACAUAGCGUACAUGAGUUAAGAGACAUGGAUUUAUUUCUAUUGCAAGUAGCAUAGCGUACAACCUGCCUGCACCGAUGCAGCUCAAUAUGCGAUAAUUUUUAUCUUCCCAUGUAAUUUUUCUACUCUAGUACAUAUUGAACUCCACAUUAAUGUCAUGUUCUUUGGCGCCCCAGACGGUUCCUAAAGUUUGGAAACAAAAUAGAUAGCCAGAAAUUUUUUUAAAAAAUAUUUAUAUGGAUAUUUGUAUGUUCUUUGCAAACUAACAAUAUUGUUUACCAAUAUCAAAAGGAAUAUGGCUAGGAGCCAUUGCCGCAUAUGGCAGGUGAUGGUAGAUGGCGUAUGGGAUUUCGUUAAUUUAAUGGUAUAAUAAGCUGAAAUACAUUUUCUAUUUGCAAAUGAAUCAUAGCUGAAAGUGGUGAGAUUGUUUUUUCGCCGGUUUAGCAUCCUGUGCACCGGUUCAACUGGAGGGAAGCGGUUCACCGAGACGGAUGACAAUUUUACGGCAGAAUCAUUACUUGUUUUAUUAUUAGGUGAAGAUUUUAGCUUUUAGGUAUCUCACAUUAACAAUCUGUUUCUAGUGUAUAAUGUAGGAGACCCGUAAAGAGUCUACACACACAUAUAUAUGUUGACUAUGAAUGUAAGUUUGUUGGUUUUAUGUAUGUUCAUUUGGAGUUUAUAUAAAUUUUACAUUUUAUAGUUUUGUGUAUAUGACGAAGAUCCAUGACUUGCAUUAAUUUAACCUUUCUUCCAACAACUCUUAUGCAUGCUGUUUCUAGGGGAGCGCACUGGUUGCAAUUUUGGUCCCCGAUAUAGCAUGAGGACUUAAGGGAGACGGGCACGUCGUAACCUUAGAUAUUUUUGCAAGAAGCAAAUUAUACUUUGCUUUUGAUUUUCUCCAUGCCAUUUGCUGACUCUUAUCCCUUUUAUUUAUCAUUAUAAGAUGAAAAUAUUGUAAAAACUUGGUUACGUGCGGUCGCAGAAGCUAGAGACUAUUUCUUUUUUUAAAAAUACGCAAGAGGGAGAAACUUGGUAACAGCUAGACAGUGAAGAUCGCAUUUCAUAAGAAAGAUGGUGCACGUUCUUGUUUGGCUGUUAACGAAAUGACUUCGUUUCACCACACCACCAGAGAGCCCCAUUGCACUUGCAGCAAAAGCGUGGAGCCGCUUUCAACCAGCGUGCAAUAAUGCAGUCCCGCGUGUCUUGGUCUUACAGGAUAUUUGGUUCUUUAGUCCGGACUAAAAUUCAUGUCGCAUAGAAUAUUCAGAUGUUAAAUAGGAGGACUAAACAUGAGCUAAUUAUAAAAAUAAUUACACAAAUGGAGGCUAAUUCCCAAGACAAAUCUAUUAAGUCUAAUUAAUCCAUCAUUAGCACAUGUUUACCGUAGCACCGUAUUGUCAAAUCAUGGACUAAUUAGGCUUAAUAAAUUCGUCUCGCAAGUUAGUCUCCAUCUAUACAAUUUGUUUUAUAAUUAGUCAAUGUUUAAUACUCUAUCUAAACAUUCAAUGUGACUGAAAUUUUAGGAGGUCCUAAAGAACCAAACACCCCUUAGUCUCCGCCUGAACUAUAGCAGGUGCUGGCAGCGGUAGCAGGGUCGUCCAUUAUAUCUAUGGAUGGAAAUGAUCUGAUUCGGAUGGAAUCGAAUUCGAAUAGCACUUUUUACCACAUACUAAUCUGAAUUGGAUGUUCUCGAAUGUGAAUGCAAAACGGAUAGUUCAAAUUUGAAUACUUUGCGGAUUUUUGCAUAAUAUUAAUCGAAGAGAAUUUGUUAAAUUUAGCCGAGACAUAAAUUUUUCUAAAUUCAAAUACUUUGCAGAUUUUCGAAUGCAAAUUUUUUCAUACGAUCUCGGUUGAAUACAAACUUUAUAUCAAAGUUGUAUAUUUAGAUUAUAUAUAAAACUUUGUAGUUGACCUCCUUUUCAUUUAAAAUUUUUUAAUAGCUCAAAACAUUAUUCUAAGCUUUCUAAUUUCAAAAUCUUGAAUUUUAAAUUUUUCAAACGACCUCGGAUGCAAACAAGCUCUAUAUCAAAGUGCUUAAUGAGAUAUAAAAUUUUGUAGUUGACAAGUUUUUUAGUUGAAAACAUUUAGUUAUCACAAACAUACAAGUUCUUCAUUUGAUGUCGAGGAUUGGAAGUGUUGAGUUUGAAGAAUAUAUUCUUUGAUUACAAACUUUUCCAUAUGAUCUUGGAUGAAUACGAACUUUAUUUCAAAGUUGCAAAUUUAGAUUAGACCAAAAACAGUAUAGUUUACAAUUUUUUCAUUCAAAAUUAUUUAGUAGCUCAAAAUGUUAUUCUAAACUCUCUAAUUUUGAAAUCUUGAAUUUUAAAAUUUUCAAAUGACCUCGGAUGCAAACAAGCUCUAUAUCGAAGUGGUAGUUCUUAAUGAGAUAUAAAAUUUUGUAGUUCCAUCUGAGAUCAUUUAACAGUCACAAAUAUACAAGUUUUUCAUAUGAUGCUAAGGAUCAGAAAGAUUAAGUUUGAAGGCUGUAUUUUUUUAAUACAAAUUUUUGCAUACGAUCUCGGAUGAAUACAAACUUUAUAUCAAAAUUGUAGAGCUCGAUGAGAAUUUAAACUUUGUAGUUGAUAUAUUUUUCAUUCGAGAAUGUUUAGUGGUCCAAACAUGUAUUAUAAGUUCAGAGAAGAAACACACAAUCGGCCACGUCAUCAAUUGACAACUUCCAAACUGAGCAUUCCUAUUGGUUCACACCUUUCCCUUUCAACUCGUCAAGCUUAUCUCCUCCCACUCCUCCAUCGUUCACUCCCCCUUCCCCUUCCUCUCUCCCUCCCUCCCUCCGCUCCAGCAGUGGCAGCCCGACCUGCCUCCUAGGACGGUGGUGUGCGGGGCUCGGGCAUCCCUGGCCUCUAGUGGCGUGGCAGGGCGGCCUCCAGCAGCGAUGGCGGAACUCGGCCUCCGGUGGCGCACAGGCAGCGCAGCCUACCUGGUCAAAGGCGGCGCAACAGGGCGACCUCCCCAGCCUCCGGCGGCGCGCAGGGCAUCCAUGACCUCCCCGGCCUCCCUUGCCAGAGGUGGUGCGCGGGGCUGCGCCGACCUCCCCAACCAGAGGUGGCAAGGCCCCAGCUUACGGCGGCGCGUGGCUCCCCAGCUAGGGUGUGGUGGGGCGGCGGCAAGUCAGGCGUGGCCGCGUGGGGGUGGGGGGAGGGGGUUGGGCUGGGCGGAUUCAGAUAGUAUCCAUUUAACCAUCCGAAAUGUGGAUAUCCGUUUAACAAUCCGUUUAGCAAAACCGAAUUUGGAUACUUCCACUUAAGUAUCCAACUAGGAUUCGAAUGCGGAUGGUCCUACCAUAUUGUUAUUUCAGCGGAUACGAAUAUGGGAUAAUUCGAAUAACGACUUACCCAUCCCUGAUUAUAUCCGUGUAAAUAAAUAAUUGCGGCAGCAGGUUCCCGUCGCCACGCCCCCGUCAAACCAAACAAUUGCUUGCGCGACACCGUGUUACUAGAUCUUGUACAGUACUCCCUCCGUUGCAGUACUCCCUAAUGAAAGUUGAGAAUCGAUCGACAACCACGGCUAGUUGCUAUGCACUCGAUCAGAUGGUCCAGGCGCCCGCUGGUAAUCAGGUCGUGGUUCACGCGCAUCAGGCCAGCUAUGACGUUGCCAGCAGUGCUCAGUACACAAAUCUAGCUAUCAGUCGGAUCCAAUUGGGCAGGCAUUUGCACUGUGGUUGUGUUUGAACCUGUAGAUGUCGUUGUCAUUAUCAGGCACCAUACAUCCUCUCUCAGAGGGUGUUUCACCCCCUAAACUUUAGCCCCUCUCACAUCGAAUGUUUUAGAUACUAAUUAGGAAUAUUAAACAUAGAAAAUUUACUAAACCCAUUACAUGGAUGGAGGGUAAACGGCGAGACAAAUCUAUUAAAUCUAAUUAGUCCAUGAUUUGACAAUGUGCUGCUAUAGUAACUAUUUGCUAAUGAUGGAUUAAUUAGACUUAAUAGAUUUUUCUUGCUGUUUAGCCUCCGUCUGUGCAAUUAGUUUUAUAAUUAAUUCAUAUUUAGUCCUCCUAAUUAGUCUCCGAAUAUUUGAUGUGACACGGACUAAACUUUAGAUAGCACACCAGGGACCGACACCAUGCAUGCUGAUUUCAUAUCAUAAUUAAGGAAAGUGAUAUCAUAAUUAAGGAAAGUGGUAGCAUCCAAGAAAUCGAUCAUGUUUCUUCCCCCUUUGGCUUUCCUACUAGGAUUUGGAUAGCGGGCCUUCCUACUAGGAUUUGGAAUCCGCUAUCGCAUGACUAUCUUAAUUAUGUCCCAUAGUCCAAAACUCACAAAACAUCAAAAAUCCAUCGAGAAUAAAUUAAGUAAAAAACAUGCGCACACAGAUAAUAAUAAUAAUAAUCAUGUUUCAAUAAAAUUGCUAAGAUUAGAGAUAGUACAUAAACAUAUUAGAUUGUUCGUGACACAUAUCAUGGUGGAUAGUGUCUGUGUCCUUAUUACAAGCAGCGAUAGAUGCUUGUCACCACACACACGCACGCACAGAUGCACGACAUACAUAUAGUUGAGACCAACGGAUGGACGUCCCAUAGGGUGAAUAAUUUAUUGGAGAUAAAUAUUAACAUAACUUGGCCAUAGCUUGAAGCAUAGCAACAUAUGCUUAUGAAUGGCAUUCAUGCGGGUAGCAAUGCUAUCAUAUGCUUUUAGGCUUGUCCUUAGCUUCUUCCAUCUUAUAGCAAACACUGCCAUUUCUUCCAUCUUAGCAGCAACUGUCAAAUUAAUUGAGAUAUGGAAAUCCCAUUAGCGCAUGAGUUAAUUUUGCAGUGGAAAUAGAGUAGAAGAUGUCUUCAUAAUGUAAGUAAUAUGACUCUGACAUAGGGAGUGAAGUCAACAAAUUACAUUAACGGAAAUGCAUGGAAGGCCACGCAUAUGUAUUAGUCCGAUAUGCUACAAAGCUUGUAUGUACAUAUAAUAAAUUAAAUGCAUUGAAUAGAGUGAUUUUAGUGAAUUUACCUAAAUCGGAUUAAAAAACAUGGGAAACAACAAGUGUUCUUGUAGGGCUUUGUUUAGUUCCCAAAUUGGGAGUAGCAAAGUUUGCAUUUUACCAUAAAUGCGCAACUAUAGCAUGUAGCAUUUUGUUUGUAUUUGUGAAUUAUUAUCCAAACAUUGACUAAUUAGGCUCAAAAGAUUCAUCUCGCAAAGUACAACAAAACUGUGCAAUUAGUUUUUGAUUUCGUCUACAUUUAGUACUCCGUGCAUGUACCGCAAGUUUGAUGUGAUGGGGAAUCUUGCUUUUCAAUAGUGACAAAGUUGGGAUUUCGGGGGGAAGGCCUGUGUCGGAGCCACAUGCAAGAAUGGCUGACAUUGAGGCUCAGACAAAGCCCAAUGGCAACUGCUGACAUGCGAUUAAAUUUAGAUAUCCACAUCCAGCCAUUCACAUUUAUGAGAUAUGGACACGGUGCAAAUGGGUGGGGUCCUGAUAUGGAGGUGCGAAUGGCUGUCUACUUGUAUAGUGUAGCUCCAAUGUACGUAUAUGUAUCUUAUGCAUGUAUACAGUUGCACAAACUCUGAACCAACUCUUCAUAACAGGUCUUUGUUACCAAGUAACUUUACUUUUGCACGUUUCAGCCGAGAGGUAGAAGAGAAUAUUUUUGCAUUUUCCAUGUGCGUCAGUGGUAGAGAACUAGGAAUUAGUUCCGGAUGGUAGGGCACAAAUCUUCCAAACAACUAUCCGAAAUUAAGCAAUCGAGAUAAAGGGUGCCAUCUAUUCUCUCCGAAAAACACAGGUACCAAAAAGAAGAAGAGAAGAGGGAGGGCCUCCCGUUAAGGCCCGCUCGGGGUCUCCAUCCCACCACGCGCCCUCCCAACCCAAAGCCCAUCGUUUUCCCUCCGUCCCUCCCCUCUCCAUUGCCGCCGCCGCUCCCCUCAUCCGAGCUCGAUACGGGUGGUCGGCGGCCCCUCCUCUCCGCUCCCGCCCCCGGCCUCCCUUUGACCGCCGGGCGCCGGCAUCACUGCCGCGGCCAACCCCAGGGCGCAGCGCGUGCCUCUAUUUCUCUCCCCCGUUCAAGGGCCCUUUGAUGGCGACGAGCACCCACCCACCAGGUAUGCCCUCCCCUUCUCUUCCUAACCCUAAUAUAUUCGGAUCUCACCCAGUCACAAUAUAUUACCUAAUAGCUUCGAUUUUGUUUGCAAAAAUCAUCACGUGCGCACCCAUGUCCGCUAGAUUCUUGCGCCUGAUCCUGUGCUGCUAUGGUUUGGGCGGGGUAGACUAGUUGAUUCGUGCACUUUUGGGUGCUUGUAGUGCUAGGUUUUGGAGGGGGAUAGCCCAGUUGAUUCCUCCGUUUUGGGUGCUCAUGGUGAUAGGAUUUGGAUGGGGAUAGCCCCAAUGAUUCGUGCGCCUUUGGGUGCUGGGGAUAGUUUUGGGUGCCUGGAUAGUCCAGUUUCAAUGUCAGUAUAUGCGUAUUUUGGGGAGAAUUUUGUUUUGGGUGGUUCUGGUGCUAGAGUUUCUGAUGCUUAGUAGCCCAGUUUCAAUCAAAUUCCCCCAUGGGUCGUGCACUACGGGAAACAAGAAAAUUGCCGAGUGUAUUUUUUUUGUCGAGUGUUUUUUUUCGAGCACUCAGCAAACAAGCUCUUCGCCGAGUGCCAAGUCAAAAACACUCGGCAAAAAAAAACACUCGGCAAAUCGGGGCUUUGCCGAGUGUCAAAUAAAAAACACUCGGCAAAGAAGGGGGUUUGCCGAGUGUUAAAAAAAACACUCGGCAAACAGGAGGGUUUGCCUAGUGUUUUUUUGACACUCGGCAAAAAAAUAAUUGUUUUUCCUCUUUUCACCUUGAAAUUUUUUCUACUCCCCACAUACAACACGUGGUACUCCAUGUUAAAAUUUGGUAUAUUUUUGGAUUUAUUUGCUAUAUUUAUUUAAUUAAUUGCAUUACAAGGAAAUUUUUGGUAUAAGUCAAAUUUGAACUGCAAGUGAUUCAAAUUGUGGAACAAAAUGAGUAGAAAAAUGAUAUUCAUGUUAUUUGGCUCAAUUUGAGACCUGACCCAUGAAAUGAAAAGAAAUUUCGAACAUCUUGUUCAGGAAACACGACAAUGAACAUGUGGCGGUAGUAUUUUUAAAUUGUAAAAAAAACAAGCAAAGUCUGAAAAUCAUGAGAUUUGUAGUUAUGUGAUGAUAUAAUACGUGGAAGCUGUGGAAAAAAAUUGGAAAGGUUUUGCACAUUUCAUCAUGUACGAUGAUUACAAACCGAAGCAUAUCAGAAGAAGAAUAGUAACUUUGAGAAGGAUUCGAUAAAAUUUAGAGUCGAAGUGACGGUCGAGUUCGGUUUGACUACAAAACUUUUUGUAUAGUCAGUAGAGAACAUAUCUUAUUUCGUGUGAAAAUUUGGUAUUUUUUGAAACUGUUGGAUAUUUUUAAUUUUUUUUUAAAAAAACUUUGCCGAGUGUCCUAGGGUAGACACUCGGCAAAGAAAAACUUUACCGAGUGCCCGCCUAGGACACUCAGCGAACCUUUUUUUAAACCUACCGGCUCCGGCCGGCCCAGCCCACAAACACCACCCGCCCCCCGCCCCCGCGCCUUCUUCCUCACGCCGCCCCCGCCCCCCACCCGUGCCUCCGGACCGCCCCCUCCUCCCCCUGGCCUCCCCUCACGCCGCCCCCCUCCUCCCCUAGCUCCCUCCACCGGCGGCCCUCCCUCCCCCGGCGCACAUCCUCCACUCCUCCUCCCCUUCCCUUCCCUCCCCUCCCCUCCCCUCUUCCUCCCCUGGCCGGAUCUGGCGCCCCUAGCUCCCCUUUCUUCCGCGGCCAGAUCUGGCGCCCUCCCGGCGGCGGGUCGUGGCGAUCGGGGCGGCGGCGGCGGAUCAGGCCGCGGGGCGGCGGCGGCGGCGGGUCGUGGCUACCGGGGCGGCGCCCUGCCCCUCCCCUCCCUCUCCAUCUCCGGCUGCCGUCCACCCCCUCCCCGGAUCCGCCCCCCUCCCCUCCGCGCGGCCAGCCCCUCCUCCCUCUCCGGCCGCCGCCCCGGCCCCUCCUCUCCCUUUCUCCGGCCACCGCCCCGCCCAUCUUCUCUGGAUCCGGCCGGAUCCGGCCGCCGCACAGCCCCUCCUCCCCGGAUCCGGUGGGCGCGGACUUCGUGGUGGUGGCGCCGGAUCCCUCCCCUCCCUCUCCAGAUAACUCCCUCCACUCCUCCGCUCUUCCCCUCUCUCGCGCGGCGGCCUCUCUCCGGCCGCCGCCCCGCCCCUCUCCCCGGAUCCGGGGGGGGGGGGACUCCGCCCCUCUGCCCCGGAUCCAGCUCCCCGACCCGCGAGUGGGGCGAGCUUGCUCAUGCGGUCGACGUCGAGGCCAGGGUGUGGUGGAGGUGGUGGCCGGCGGGUGUGGUGGUGGUGGCGGCGGCGGGCAUGGCGGCGCGGAGGCAAGGCACGGCGGCCGGUGGGAGGCACGGGUGCAAGGCGUCGACGGCAGGAGGCAAGGCACGGCAGCAUGGGAGGUGGUGCUGUGGUGGUGGUGCUGGCGGUGGUGGCGGCGGCGGAGCAGGAUGUGGUGGUGGCGGAGGAUGUUUUUUUUUCAAAAAUUUGUUGCCGAGUGUUUUCUCGGCACUCGGCAAAGACUUUACCGAGUGCCCGACACAAAACACUCGGCAACUCAGUGUUUGCCGACUGAAAAAUUGCCGUGUGCCGUUUGCCGAGUGUUACACUCGGCAAACGGUUCGCCGAGGGUUUUUUGCCCUUCGCCGAGUGCCCCUAGCACUCGGCAAUUUCACUAUCUCCCGUAGUGGUGGCUGGACUUAUGGGGGGAUCAUUGAUGGGGGACUAGUUGGAUACUUUUUGGCUGUUUUGGGAGUCCUUGGCAGCGGCUUCUCAGGGCGUACGUAGCCCAUUGUAGAUUCCAGCCGAGAAGAUUAAGGAAUUGUGACUGCAACCAUGUUACUUUUCUAGGACUCUGUUUCUGAUAUUGUUCCCGCUGCAUCUUUUCAUCCCCAUGGUGAAUGUUGCUGUUGAUCUGUAGAUUGGAUUUGUUCCUCGGUAGCUUUAUUAGAUUUGUGCUGAAUGAUAAUCUCUGCCUGUGAUAUUUUUCUUCAUUGCGGAUGUGUGCCGAGUAUUAUCCCCUUUGUUCAUUCUGUUGGCUUUUUUUAUUGUCUCUGUACUCGGCUGUUCAGCUUGUGCAGCUAAUGAUCUAAUGUAUUUUGUCGUAACUAUGUAUUUUUCGGAUGUGUGCCGAGUAUUAUCCCCUUUGUUUAUUCUGUUGGCUUGCUUUCAUUGAUCUUAAGAUAACUGGUGCUAUAAAUUCACACUAGCUGAUGCACUUGCAAAUAGCUAUGUAAAUAUGAAAAGAAGUAUUUUUUUAUCCUUUUGUUUGUUUGGCAUCAUAUCUGUUUAAAUGGCAUAGCAAUAAGAAUUUUUUGUUUUUGGGGAAUCAUAUCUGCUUAAAUGGUAUAGAAAAUGCUGAGUGCACUGUCAAAUAGAUUUUCCAGCAGUCUGCUUUCAGUUGUUUUUGCAAAUCCUCACAGGCCAGUGAACUGACUUUGUUUUUACCACCCCAUGCCAUUUAAAUGACUAAAUCAGUCAGCCUAAUACUAUAUAUGGUCAUGCUAUGAUCUUAUUUCUUGAAGCUCUAUAGGUCAACCCAUAAGGGUAACUUAGUUUUUCCUAUUCUGGCUGGGGAAGUGGAUACGAUGGCUAUCCUUGGUAGAGUUAAAUACAUUGGCGGCUCUUAGCGCGCCAAUGUGGCACCACAAUAUCGAACAUAUGUAGAAACCCCCUUGUUUUUUCUCAUAUCCCUCUCUCUCAGCGUCCUCUUCUCUUCUUCUCCUCUGUCUCCUCCCCUCCCAUCGCGUGCUUUAUUGCGCCGCCGCCAUCCGCCUCCAUGUAUGAACACGUCGUUUGUCAUGAAGAAGCAGUUGAUGAGGCAAUCAAGCAUGUGGUGCACAAGGUUCUUCUGCUGGCCAAGUCCGAGUCGAACAGCCGCGCAUUCAUUGGGGAAGCACGCGCCAGGCAUCACCAGGCUCCUCGUGCCCCUACUCUGCUCCAAGGACUCGGUGCUUCGACGCGCUGCUUUCCCUGUCCGGCGAGCGGGGAUCGUUGGGAGAUGAUCGAUGGAGGAUGGAGCUGAUCCUCCUGUACACGGUGCCGGUGGGGAGCAGGGAGCUGCGGAGCAGGUCCACGGGCGGCGCCAUUACAGCAGGUGCAGGCUAAGGGUAAUGAGCAGAUCGAGGCGAUGGAGGAGGACCCGCACGAGGUGCAGCUUCUUCGCCUCCUGCGCAAAGUCAGCGCCCAAGCAGCCGCUGAGGGACAGGCCGAGGCUUAGCUCGAUCUCAUCCGACUAAAUGGUGGCUGCACUCCCACAGUCCCACUGGUGCUCCUCCCUUCUGUCCGAACCUGCCGAGGAAAUCCCUCGAUGCCAUGGGUCCCGGCUGGACGACUACUCCUCCCACAGAUUGACUGAGGAAGAAGAGCUUCUCAGUGUCCAAAAAUUCAGUUACACUGGAAACAGCAACCAAUUACGUUCUUCCGGCUCAGCCAAGCCCCAAUCUCCUUGCUUCUGUGCGCCCCUGCUAAAUAUUCCAGAAACCAAUCUGGUUAGUUGUUUUUUCACAUUUUCAGUGCAUGCCGGUGCUGCUGUGUGCGGCAUGCAUGGAGUUGUCGUGGGAGUGCACGGUGGCUUAGCUGGUGCGCCAGUGCGCGGGCACGAACACAACGGUGAAGAUGGCAGGGCCAUCUCAAAGCUCCUGAGCACCUGCACGCGUCGCUGAGCAGGACAUGCUGCGACGGUGGGCGAGCGCUGCUAACGCCCUGGGGAAGAGCAGUGGGUGCAGAGAGAGGGAGCGAGGGAGAGGGGUUCUUGUAUAUGUUUGCUAGCGUGGCACCGUUUACGGUGCCCGCCUAAGUGGCAUUCACGUGUCAUUCAUCCCAAAUGGUGUUGCAAGGUUGAACCUAUUGUGGGAGGCUUUUGGUUUCCCUUGACAGUAUCACCAGUGAUAUCACUGCGUUCUGGUUAUGUAUGAAACACUUGUCCUUUUAAAACCUUUCUGAAUUUAGAAACGAAUUUGAAACAUUACCCUCAUUUCCAUGUUUUUCUAUCUUUUGUCCCUGUAAAAUCAAACUAAAUUUGAAUUAUUAUGUUCAGAACUACAAGCUGAUUUACUUGUCCCAUUUGCUAAUAACAGGGCCUUGUGAUUUCUAAUGAACAUUGCAGAGCAUGUUAUAAAGCGUAUGCAUGAACACCAAGGGGAUGAAACCAUUGGUAUAUUUCUCACAACCUUUUGAACUUAUCAUUUAGCAUAUUUGUGUUCUAGUGUGACGUUUCAGCCACGAGACAUGAGAAAUGUUAGCUAUGGAUUUUGGUUAUUCAUCAUGGGUUCACAGAUUUGUUUUUCUCUAAAAGAAUUGGGAAGUAGCUUUCUUUCUGGGUAUAUGUGGGGAAAUGCAUAUGCAAUCUUUUAUUUAUUGAGGUGACUGUAAAAUUCUUGUCUGACUGAAUAUGCGAUUUCAACCUACAUGCUAUACUUAGGGAAAUUUGUGAAUCUCCUAAUGUCUGCUGCAUGGCAUGAAUGCAUAUUUUACUGGUCCAUAAUGUGAAGUUCUGUAUAUAAACUUCUCGUGUUGACCCUUUAGAACAUGCUAACUGGAGAGUUUUCUAGAGUAGUUAAACAAGAGAUUUAGUUAAAUCUGCACACAUAGGUGGGGCCUGGCAUACCCUAAGAAUCGGCCUAGCCGGUCAGCCCAUUAGUAAAAAAAAAAGCACCGCAGUCAGCAGUCCCCACGUUGGUCUUCCUCGAGUCGCGACUCGCGAAGCUCCCAUCCUCCGAGUCCAAGAUGGUGGACUGUGUCGAGCGCGGGGCGGGCGAUUAGUUGCCCGGCCGCCGGCGGGGGAUGGCCGGACGGCCAGAUCGCCGACUCCUCUAGUCCUCCCUCCAGCCUCUGCGCUUCUUUCACAGUGGAGCUAGCGGCGAGGCGCCCGACCGACACCCUUCUUCCCAAAUCCCGGCAGCCCUACCUCGAUUUGGCCUCCUCCGAUCAUUUGAUAAUCAAUUUGAUGAAAUUAAUAUGGAGUUGCUUUCUUGUAUGGUUGCCUUCAAUCCUGCUAAUUCAUUUGCUUCAUUUGAUGCACAAAAGAUACAUAGACUUGCUAUAUUUUUAUCCACAAGACAUCACAAGCACGGAUUUGCUAAAACUUGAAUUCCAGCUCGAUAUUAUAUUGAUGAUGUGAGAUAGGAUGAUAGUUUCAAAGGCCUACAAGAUCUUGUUAACUGAGACUCAGUUAAGCUUGUUGAAACAAACAGGCAUAAUAUUUAUGACUUGGUUUACUUGCUUCUCAAAUUGGUAUUGGUUCUUCUUGUGGCGACAGCUAGUGUUGAAAGGGAUUUUUGUGCAAUGACUUUGAUCAAGAGUAAGCUAAGAAAUAAGAUGGGUGAUAGUCUUUUGGAUGAUUGUCUUAUCACAUUCAUUGAGAAAGAUAUUUUCUUUGAAGUGGAUGAAGAAGAUAUAAUUAAGACUUCAUAUCCAUUAGAAAUCGUAGGCUGGAGAAGAAGUAAUAUUUUAAUUUUCUUUGAACGUUAGGUCUGUAAGCUUCUUUUAAACUAUCUACAUUAUAAUUUAUGGACCUUUUAAUUUAACCGUUGAAUUCAUGAUAUUAUGAGAUUUUUUUAUCUAUGUUAUUAUUGUUUACCGAUUUAUUACCAAAUUAUUAGUUUGAUCUUACAAUAUUGUAUUUUGGAUGAUUGGCUCGGCAUACUCUAAGUUUAAAUCCUAGCUCCGCCACUGUUUGCACAUUAAUGUGGCUUAUAUGUGUGGAGUCACUUAACCUAUGCACUUGGACCUCCACUCCCUUAGGUUUUAUGAACCUAAUUUGACAGCCUGCUCGUCUUUUAUUUUCUACCAAUCAGCUAGGAACGAACAUGGUGAUGUUUGCAUCUCUGCCAUCAAUGGCUUACAUGUCAUUAUGUAUCACAUUAGCAAGUCUUGUUUUGUUAUUGGCUGGGAUGACGGGGACUCUAGCUGGAAUUGAAUCAAAGUGGUAGAUCACAGGGUAUUCAUUGCCAUGUAUUUCUGCAGUUGCAUGGACUUGCAUCAAACGGACCUUCCUACUUAUGUGAUUGUCCUAUAUGAUCUCCUUUGAUUUCAUUUGCACACUGUAAUCACAUUAGCUAGAACACUCGCUUUUUGCUUCAAAUUUGAAAUUCAUAUCAUGAUGGACUAGAACGCUGAAUUUCUUGAUUGCUGAGUUACUAAUCACAUUGUGGCGCUGCCAAAGAAGCUGGACUCUUCAUUGUUGUUGCCUUGUGGGCUGCCGUGUGCAAAGAACAAGAGCGCACGGUAUUAUAAUAGCAGAGCAGAACACAGACAAGCGACAAGGAGCGGAGCAGAGCAGAGCACAGCCAGGCACAAGCAGUAGAGUAGAGCAGAGCAACCGGGAGAGGAGAGGGCACAUAUGCAGAGUAGAGCAGAGCCAAGCGCAAGCAUUCAUGCACUCAAGCAUGCAGCAGAGGUGUAGCAAGGCAAGCACAAGCAGCAGAGCAGAGGGAAGGGAAGGCUGGGAGAUGAAUAGGCGAAUAGUUACCUGGACAGAGCAGAGGGAAUGGAGAUGAUGCAGAUGCUUCCGGAGACUCGAGAUUUGGAGAGGAACAAGGCCACGUUGUGAACAAGGUCUCCUUUCUCUUCUCUAUUUCCCGCGCAAGUACUUGUGCAUAGUGGCUGCCUCAUCCUCCAGGACGUCCACUUCAACCUGAGGCGGGUGCCACAGACAUCCUGGCUAUGCGACGGCUACCCCCAGCACACCCCCGGCGCCUAUGAACCAUGAUCCUAAUACUAUAAAUUGUCAACCUUGUAAUCUUAUUUCAAGCAUGCUCUCUAUGUCAACCUGUAAGGUUAACUUCGUUUUUCCUUUUCUGGGUAGGGGAGUGGAUAUUGCUGUUAUUUAUAUUAUGUUGAUAUUGGUUUCCACAUGUCAUUCACCCCAAAUGUGUUGCAAGGUUGAACCUAUCAUCGGAGGAAUUUUUUUCCCUUUACCUUUAUAUCACUACGCUCUGGUUAUGUAUGAAACACUUGUCUUCUUAAAAACCUUAAUUUAGAAACAAAUUUGAAACACUAUCUUCAUUUACAUCCUGUAUGUGUUUUCUACCUUUUGUCCUAUAUGAUCUGCUUUGAUUUGAUUUGUGCAUAGUUUUUUCAAUUCAGACCUGGUGAUUUCUGAGGUUCAUGUUGUGCUGAUAAGCAGCCUACUAUUCAGUAACACUUUCAUGUGGCAUGUUCAUGUUAGCUAGCUAGAAACACUGCUUUUAGCUUCAAAAUUCAAAUUCAUGACAUGAUGGACAUUGACAAUGAAUUUCUUGAUUGCCGAGCUAUGUACACUGUAAUUCAGACCUGGUGCUUUUAGUUUUUUUCUUGAUUGCCGAGCUAGAAACACUGUGCUUUUAGUUUUUUCAAUUCAGACCUGGUGAUUUCGGUUUUUUCAAUUCAGACCUGGUGAUUUCUGAGGUUCACGUGUCACACCGAUUUUAAGAACAAAAUCGAGUGCAUUAAAUAUACAUGUACGCUAGGAUCAGGUUACACACAUGUACGACAUAAGCGAAUAUCAAAGACAAUGCCAUAACGAAAUAAAGAGAGUAUUAAUCAUUAUUACAUGACCGAAAGUCUCAAAUAAACCACAAAAUCUAUUUAUUACAUAGCGGAACUUCUAAGAUAGCAACGUCUCCACAGGCAGCUGACUGAAGAACUGUAUGCCUAGAACUCUUCAAAAUCGUGCAGGUACUCCUCCAGAUUAGCUUGGUAUGAACAACGGUUUUGCAAGGGUGAGUACACUUAUGGUUGGUACUUAAUAAGUCGUGGGAAACAAUGUAGUGUAAGGCAAAUCAAGGUAUGGCUAAGGCUUAAACAGCAUCAGCUUUUAAUUUAGUUGGUCAAAUUUUAUUAGCAAUUAAUUAGACGUAAAUUUAUACCACCCGAAAUUAAACAAGAACAUGAAUAAAAUAAUAACAUAACCAUAAAUGAAAUGACAACAAUUUAAAUCCAUCUUUUCAUAGCAUUAUCAUGUGAGGGUCCAGUCCGUUCUUAACCGUGAGCACCGCUGAUCGAUCAGUUUUACACUCUGCAGAGGUUGUACAUCUUUACCCACAAGUCGCGUAAAAGUUCAAAAGAAUUUUGGACCCAACCAUGCGGUAUUUGCAAGGCACCAUACCACACUUCCAAGGUGUGAUUGCAUAUGAACGCUACGAGGCCUUUACAAAGAUUCAUUAGUAAGUGGUAACCCGCUAAGGUUUCGGUAUUUGGCGUGCACAACCUAUCACAGGCCGCUAAUGCAACGACUCAGUCCCCCCUCUUGCCUCAUCACGAGUAAGAUUACCCCAGACUAAGGUUUCUAAUUAUUCAGCCAAGAUCAGAACCAUUUAGUCUUGUGGUAGCACUGUUUUCCUGGGUGGUUCUCCAUGUUCCGAUUAAACAUAAUGGUCUUGUAUUAAUGGAAGGUAUAACAUAAAUAAUACCAAAUUAAUAAUAAUUCAGAUUAAAUCACCAUAACCAUAUUUGAGCACUAAGCAUGAGCUACCCAACAUAAAUUUAACCCGGUUGGUCAAGGCAAGGUAGAUAAAGUCUAGGAAAUUCUUAAUUGGGACCCAUCAAGUUUAAAUUAUACUUUGCAUGGUAUGUUGCAUAGAACAUGAAAGUAAAUGUGAAUAGGACUGAAAAGGAGUGAUUAGGGACACGACUUGCCUUUUUAACCUUGUUCUUGCUGUUCGUACUCUUCGAAAACUUUGAUCUUCAAAUCCCUUGAACUGCUGACCGUCUACACGCGUCACACGACCACAUACAAGCAAACAAAUAUAAUACAUAAGAAAACAGUACACCAAUCAUAAUUAAAUAGAAGAAACAAAUUUGAAAAGCUAUUCUACGCAUUAAAACGAAAACACGGAUACAAGGAACGUUAAAAACGGAGCUACAGUGCAAAAACUACGCUUAAAACAAGAUGCAGGGGUAUAACUACGAGAAACCAAACUUCCAGGGAUUUAAUUUUAAAUAAUUUUGAACUGCAGAAGGGGCAGCAGGGCAAAACGUAGAAAAUGCAGGGGCUUAAGCGCAAAAGCAUGGCUGCUGACUCAGCUGACUUGAUGUGGAUCGUCGGAUGGCGAUCCGGCGGCCGGCAGCUGCUGCGCUGACGUCAGCGACGGCGAGCGCCGGCGAAAAACGGCAGUUCGCCGGAAUCGCCCGGGAACGCGCGACUGGGUGCAGAUUUGAGCGAGGAUUAGACUAGCAGAUAGAAACGAGCGCAGUGAACUCAUUUGGGAUGCCUACGGCGAGGACUUGGCGACGGCAUCGGCUCCGGCGAGAACUUGCGGCAGGGAAACCAAAUAAAAUAAAAUAACACGGUUCAGAGAAGCGGCGCUGGAGGAACGCGAGCGAUUUUGCGUGCGAGCGGAAGAAAACACUGCGAGGAAGAUGACUGCGGGCCCUGCUUGUCUGCGGCAGGAGGAGAGCUGCGUGCGAGAAGAACCUGGCCACGAUCUGGGCCGUUGCCUUCGAUCUGGGCCGAGGCAAGCUAGCUGGCCCGCUGCUGCGGAAAGGUGCUGGGCCACGGGCGGAGCACAGCGUCGGGCCAGAAAGGAGAUGGCUGCUGCGAGGAAACAAAAGAAAAUGAACUGGGCUGCGACAGAGGAAAACUGGGCGUCGGCCAGAAAGAAGCUGCGUGCAGCUUGCUCUUGUUUCCGAACUAGAAACAGGAACUGACGGAAAGACAGAAAUCAAUUGGAGACUGAAACUGACGCCCCAGACUCUGAACUUCGAAAAAACAGGACAACCAGCCAACUGACAGAAAAAAAAAAGCUUAACAACCCAAAAGCAGUACACAACCACGAAACCAGGCCACAAGACUGAAAAAGCUUGAUAGGAACAUCUGGCGACUGAACCAAAAAACUACAGAACUGCAACUGAAGAACUAGAGAACAGAUAAAUAACUGAUUGAACUCUGAAACUGAAACACCAAAGAGCAGGAAGCUGACUGACGGAAAAUGCAAAACAGCAACCCAAGGUGAAACACAAAUUCUUCUUCAAGCAUUCAAACAAAGAGAUAUGCAACAGCAUGAAUGCUCAAUAAAAUCCUAUAUUUCAUUAAUUAAUUAGAAAAAAUGCUCAAAUGCCUAGAAAAAUGCAAAAGUGACCUUAUAUGCCUUAAACAAGCAAAUUCGUUUCUAGCGAUUUUUGGUAAAAUGCAAAAUUAGAGAUUUUGGGUGUUACAUCAUGUUGUGCUGAUAAGCAGCCUACUAUUCAGUAACACUUUCAUGUGGCAUGUUCAUGUUAGCUAGCUAGAAACACUGUGCUUUUAGCUUCAAAAUUAAAUUCAUGACAUGAUGGACAUUGACAAUGAAUUUCUUGAUUGCCGAGCUAUGUACACUGUAAUCACAUUGUGGGGCUGAUAAAAUAAGCAGCGUUGAGACACAUAACAAUUGAAUCUUAAGCUUCACACAGAAUCUGGACCAGUCAUCCUCAUUCCUGUCAUGCUGGAAAUGUCUUUGAUACAUUUCAAUCACAGGCAAUUGAAUUCGUACUGGGGAGGAUGGCAAUGGUGCAUGAAGAGAGAUCAAUGUGGCAAAUCUCACAUUGUUCAUUACCAGGUAUCUCCGAUUUCUGGUUAUUUUAAAUUUACCUUGACAUGUGACUUAUUGAGGUAUUGUAUUUCAUCUAAUGGUAGUUCUGAAUUUAUGGUAACCUUGGAUGGGGUUUGUCACUUUAUACACGCACGGACUUACAAAGGACAGCAAAUGAGUAUAUUUAGAGGGCUCCUGUCCAACCAUGGACUAUACUUAUGUACCCUUUUUUGACAUGGUAAUUUGAGGUUAAUGGAAAAGUAGCGAUAGUCGCCUCCAGCGAAGCUACCUUCUUCGAAAGCUCCGAGGCUGCUUUCUCGCUCUUAGCAAGCCGAUCCCUCGUAAUCAUCGAAGAGUAAGAGACCUACAGAUUUUAAAAACCAAGUUACCAAAAAUAACGAAGUAAAAGACAACACUCGCAAGACAAACCACCAAACUAUCUCAUAAUUGUACCUUCUUUACGAGGUUCGCCUCCAAGUUAAAGAGCUCUUCCAAGAUCAUUGACUUCACAGCUUGCUGAAAAUCUAUGCGCCAAAGGAUAUAGUCGUAAGCAUAAAAUAAAAAUUGGUAAAAACCAAGGACAGCAAAGCCAUCUACAAGCUGUUCUUACCCUCAUACUUUCGCACCUCAACGGCGAUCGGAACAACCUUCUCUCUAGCCUCGCCCUUAGACGCCACCACAAUCUUCCCGCCACACAAAUCCACAACCCCUCCUUUACCUUUGCCCUCUCCCGAAGUCGUCGUGCCCGCCUUCUCCACCCUUUUUGAACCGCCAACAUCUGCAUAGCGCUCGCAACCUUCACCUUCAGCCCCCCAGACCAAAGACAGGUUGUGAGGAUUAUAAACCCUACCUUCGGCGCAUGUAGCUAGAAUCUCCGUGCGCCCGCUCAAGCCCAGACACUCAUUCAGUCCCUGAAGCCCCGCCGGCAACCUCUCACCUACAUCAUAACAUUCAACUUUUAGCCUCACAUGAUCCUCACAACUAACCUUACCAACGCCCCCCAUAGUUUCUUCCAAGUCCUUCAAAAAUUUCGUUGAGGCCUCACCACAAUCAAAGAACCGUAGCAUCGAUAGAAACACCUCUACAUGCUUACCAGAUCUCACAGCUUCGGCACACCCACCCUUUGGAUCAGAUGAGAACGCAUCCACAAGCUUCGCCUUUUCGGUGGCAAACCCCCUCUCAAGUUUCCCAACAUCAGUCAAGAGAUGUUGCGCGCUCUUAAACUUCGAGCUUAUGGAAGGCACCGUGAUCUUGGUACCAGCUGCCGAAGACGCGUCAACCUUGGCACCCGUAACAGUAACAGGAGCAAAUCGAGGUUUCUUGGCGCCUCUUUUGAUCCGUGCGGCGGGCCCGGUGGAUGAAGGUGCAAGAGCUGGAACCUCCUUAGGAGGGCGCAUAGAGACAGGAACAACAUAUGCCGGAUUGCUCAAGUCGCCAGACGAAGCUGUCGACCACGAUGGCAACAUAGCAGACGAAGCCCCCGCGGUCAUUUCCUUCCUUUUUUGCGCCUCCAAAUUCAAGGUCUUUUGCUUCGCCUUAGCGGUCACUUGCAAUUCAAUAGUGAGCUUCACCAUGGGUACGAAGUCAAAUUUUGCCUUUUUCCUCUGCUCAAGACUAGCACCGCGACGGCGCCUCUUGCCCGUAACUUUGGGGUGAGGCAGAACCACAAUAUCAUACAAGUCAAAAAUCUAAGAUGAUGACAUUCCAUUUGUAUCCAUGAUUUAUAUUGUGUUCCUUGAAUAUCCAUUAAAGUCUACUUGAAUUGAUUUGCAAUUAUGUGAAUUGUAUGUGAAACUCUUUCCUUGUAUGGUUAUUCUAAAGUUGUCCCUAGUCGGAGUUCAUGUGAGGACACAUGAAUAUUAGACUAGCACAUGUAUUAGUUGAUGACUAUGUUUCACAAGUCAUGGACAUGAAGAUGUGGAACUAAUAAUGUGGGCACAUGUGGAGACACGUGCUAGGACUGACCCAACACGAGAAGUAGUUCUCUCUUUAUACAACAUAUACGCUUUGUCCUUAGACCUGAGAUUGUCGCAUGUACUCAAGAUGUGGAUCGACUUACUUAGGGGCUAUCAAAUUCUACGCCGUAACAGGGUAGUUAUAAAGGUAGCUUUCGGGUUUGUCAAGAAGCAUGCUAUGAGACAUGGUCAAUCAAGAUGGGAUUUGCCCCUCUCUGAUUGAGAGUGAUAUCUCUGGGCCCCUCGAGUGAUCGGAUCCGAAAAUGCAUGGCCAUGCUACAUACGAUUAAGAGUUAGCCUACAAAAGGAUUCCGAAUCAUAGGAUCGAGAAAGAGCGGUCGGCUUGAAGCUAGACCAAAUAUCGUGAGGCAAAGGGAAUAGCAUGUAUAUAAUGUUGUGAUGGUUCGUCUGAUAUGAUCUUCGUGUGCGUAUAGGAGUUGGCACGUCUUGCUAGAGGUCGCUACCGACUAUUGGGCCGAGUAGGAGUACUCAGGCCAUGUCUAUACGUAUCCGAACCCAUAGGGUCACACACUUAAGGGGCUGGAAGCCCAAUUCGGAUGUGAUCCGAAUUGGAUUAGGUUUAGAAGUACUAAUGGGCCUUGGACCUAGAGGCCCGUUAGGAACCUCUAUAAAUAGAGGGGUGGGGGCGCCCUAGGGUUUACACCUUUUUGGUGAAACACAUCUGCCGCGCCUCCCACGCCUUCGCCUGUUGCAACUCGCGGACCUAGCAGUCCGGCUUGCGACGCUUCCUCCCUGCACGUGUGGAUACCUUGGAAGUGUUGCUCCUGCAGCACUUGGACGAGCCGCCAACGAGCCACGACGAGCCACGAUGAGCCGACGAUGAGCCGCGGCACGAGGGGGAUCUUGCUGCACGUGGACGAGCUGCUGAGGAGCUGCUGGACGUCGAUGUGUUCGACUACGUACGACUACGCUGAUCGACUUCGCUGCAUCAACGCGAAUCUACAUCUUCCGCAUCAUUGCAUCGAGUGGUAAUCCCGUGAUCCUGAUACGGCAGUUUUCCUAGUUUACGCGGUAGAAAAUUUUGUUUUGUGCUAGUGUAGCCUAACUCAUAUCCCAACAACGUGUGCUAUAGGUCACGCAAGCCUGAAAAUGGCCACACCGGACACCGGGUACGAAAACAUGGGGGAUGGACCGAACAUUUGAAAAUGGCCUCCAUAUGUGUUUUCGGCUAUGAAAAUGUGUGUUAUAGGUCACAGAAGCUUGAAAACGGCCGCACCAGCCACUAGGGACGAAAACGUGGGGGAUGGACCAAAGACAUAAAAAAUAGCCUCCAGACGCGUGUUCGGCCAUGAAAACGUGUGGUAUAGGUCCUGGAAGGCCAAAAACAGCUACACCGGCCACCUGGGACGAAAAAGUUUGUGUAAGACCGAACACUUGAAAAUAGCCUCUGGACGCGUGUUCGGCUAUGAAAAGGUGUGUUAUAGGUCACACGAGCCCCAAAACAACCACAGCGAACACCAGCUACAAAAACAUGGGGGAUGGAUCGAAUAAUUGAAAAUGGCCUCCAGACGUUUGUUCGGCCAUGAAAUCGUGCGUUAUAGGUCGCGGGAGCCCGAAAACGGCCACACCGGCCACCGGGAAUGAAAAUGUGGGGGAUGGACCGAACAAUUAAAAAUGGCCUCCGGAUGUGUGUUCGGCCAUGAAAACGUAUGUUAUAGGUCACGGGAGCAUGAAAACGGCCGCACUGGCCACUGGGGACGAAACGUGGGGGAUGGACCGAAGACGUGAAAAUAGCCUCCAGACGCAUGUUCGGCCAUGAAAAUGUGUGCUAUAGGUCAUGCAAGGCCAAAAACAGCUGCACCAGCAACCGGGGACGAAACCAUGGCUGUCAAACCGAACGCUUGAAAAUCGCCUUCGGACGCGUGUUCGGAUAUGAAAACAUGUGUUGUAGGUCACGCGUGCCCGAAAACGUCCACAACGGACACCGGGUACAAAAACGUGGGGGAUGGAUCGAAUAACUGAAAAUGACCUCCGAACGCGUGUUCGGCCAUGAAAACGUGUGUUAUAGGUUGCGGGAGCCCAAAAAUGGCCACACCGGCCACCGAGGAUCAAAACGUGGGGGAUUGACCGAACAAUUAAAAAUGGCCUCCGAUUGUAUGUUCGGCCAUGAAAACGUGUGUUAUAGGUCAUGGGGGCCCAAAAAUGGCCGCACCAGCCACCAAGGACGAAAAUAUGGGAGAUGGACCAAAGACAUGAAAAUGGCCUCCAGAUGCAUGUUUGGACAAAAGUGUGUGCUAUAUGUCGUGCAAGGCCAAAAACAGCUACACCAGCCACCGGGACAAAAACGUGGGUGUUUGACUAAACAAGUGAAAAUGGCCUCCGGAAGCAUGUACGGCUAUGAAAAUGUGUGCUAUAGGUAAUGGAAGGCUAACAAAAGCUACACCGGCCACCGGGGACAAAAUCAUGGGUGUCAGACUGAACACUUCAAAAUGGCCUCCGGACGCGUGUCCGGCUAUCAAAACGUGUGUUAUAGGUCAUGCGAGCCCGAAAACAACCACACUGAACACCGGGUACAGAAACAUGGGGGAUGGACUGAAUAACUGAAAAUGGCCUCUAGACGCGUGUUCGGUCAUGAAAACAUGUGUUGUAGGAUGCGGGAGCCCGAAAACGGCCACACCGGCCACCAGGGCAUGGACCAAACAAUUGAAAAUGGCCUCCGGAUGUGUGUUCGGCCAUGAAAACGUGUGUUAUAGGUCACGGGAGCCCAAAAAUAGCCGCACCGACCACUGGGGAUGAAAUCGUGGGGGAUGGACCGAAGAUGUGAAAAUGGCCUCCAGAUGCGUGUUCGGCCAUGAAAACGUGCGCUAUAAGUCAUGUAAGGCUAAAAAUUGCUACACCGGGACUAAAGCAUCCCCCAUGAGUUACAAUAAAAGGAUUGUAUCCUCUACUCAGUCGGAUGUACUGUGUAGGUGAGAUGGUAAGGAAGCUAUGCGCGAGGUUUGAGGUUGUGGGUUGAAAUCCUACGCACCGCGCGCACACGCGCAUAUUUUGUGUGAAAAAUCAUGUGACUUGUGAUCGGCCAAGGAGAAGUGGGUGCAGCUGUGGCUUAAGUGGCUGAGGCACGCUGCCAUAGACAUCUCCGAUUUGCUCGAAGACUACCAAGACACUAGCAAUAACAAGAACUACUGCUCUUCCUAGCAGACUCUUUACAACCACUUUAAAGCUGUGCAUUUCUCAAUGUAAUUUCGUAGAAGGCAAUCGAUCCAACCAAGCGACUAAAUCAUUUGUUCUUGCCAAUGAUGUACAUCAGGUUUUCUAUAUGAAGGACAUGUCUAGCAAACCUAAGAUUUUAGAAGAAAAAGAAAAAUUAUGGGAGUCAAUAAUAAAUCAGGCCAAUCAGGAGAUUAUAGUAAGCUCGAUGGUAUGCCUCCAUUCGAUGUCGAAGUUGGCCCAAGCAUCAUGUUAGCCAAAGAUCAAAUGUUCGUGCAUUGCUACGGUAAAGAUCAAUUGUGUCUUUUAAACCCAUGGAAUUUUUUAUCUAUGUUUUUAUUACACUUAAUGGAUGUCUACACAUUUGCUAGAAAAUCAAAAUAAUUUUGACUUAAUUAUUUCUUUCAACUCAAAUACUCAUUAAAUUUCUACCUUUUUAUUUAAGCAAGAGAGUUGCUCAAAAAAUGGAUACGUAACCAUGUUGUAUCAUACAAAGCAACCACAUUUCACAUAUAGUCUGGCUUAGCAAACACCAUUGUUGUCUUAACAUAGUGUUCAUGAGUUAGUAGACAUGGAUCUAUUUCUAAUUGCAAGUAGUGCAGCGUACAACCAGCCUGCACCGCCGCAGCUCAAUAUGCGAUAAUUUUUUAUCUUCCCAUGUAAUUUUUCUACUCUAGUACAUAUUGAACUCCACAUAAAUGUCAUGUUCUUUCACGCCACAGACGGUUUCUAAAGUUUGGAACUAAAUAGAUAGCCAAAAAUUUUAAAAAAAUAUUUAUAUGGAUACAUGUAUGUUCUUUGCAAACUAACAAUAUUGUUUACAAUAUCAAAAGGAAUAUGGCUAUGAUCAUUGCCGCAUAUGGCAGGUGAUGGUAGAUGCCGUAUGGGGUUUCUUUAACUUAAUUGUAUAAUAAGCUGAAAUACAUUUUCUAUUUGCAAAUGAAUCAUAGCUGAAAGUGGUGGGAUUGUAGAACCGCCGGCCAUCGUGUCCUUGUAGGACCGCUGCACGAGCCUGUGAGCCACCAGCCACCAUGCGCCCAAGGGCCAUCACCACGCCAUAAGAGGAUGCUGUCUACCCGGUUUCGCGCGCCUGUGCUAGCUGCCUGAACCUGGGCCGCCGCCGGUCGCCUGCCCAGCCGCGCGUUGCGCCAGGGUUUUGCUGGUGACGACCAUGGCCUUCGCGAUCAAAUUAAAAAGUUAUCAACUGCAAAGUAUUAGGUCUCGUUGAGCUCUACAAUUUUGAUAUAAAGUUUCUAUUCAUCCGAGAUCAAAUAAAAAAUUUGAUACUCAAAGCAUAAAUCCAUUAAUCUAGUCUUGCUAAUCCUUACCACCAAAUAAAAAACUAGCAUGUGUUGUGUGUUUGUGACCCUAAACGAUCACAAAUGAAUAACUUAUGGGCCUUGCUAGCGCCCGGAUGUCCAGGCCGGGGCACUAGCAUCAGACCCACGAGUAGCCGUCCGAUCAGGUUCGACACCACUUCAGGAUCUGGCUUAAAAAGAAGUCCCACCGAAACAUUGUUCCAUGUUGCAUGAAGCAACCCACUACCGUCGCCAGGUCUAGAGCAAGCACCACCUUCAAAUGUGCUGCUCACCCUAGCUAAAUAGGGGCAUUAAAAUAUUUCUCGCAUAUCCUUCUCAAAUUAAACAAAAUCGCAACAUCUGAAAAUUUUUACAGAAAACCAUGAAACAUAUCGAUUAGAUAGAUGUAACAAGAUGGAAUAUGGUAUAUGCAACAUAUAGGUUCCGAAAAGCAGAUGAAAUAUUAUGUAAUGAUUCUUGAAACAGUCAAGAAAAAUAGAUGUAACAUCUAAAAUUAAGAAAAGAAGCUUUAUGCAAAUUGCAAAAAGCUGAAACAAGUGGUUGAAACAUUUCAAAUCACCAAAUGCCACAUUUGAAAUGACCAGAUGAAACAUCACGAAAUCAAUUGCAACAGUUGAAGAUGAAAACAUUCAAAUGCCUUGCCUUUCUCCAAAUUUGACCCUCCAAGCAUGAGUCCAGCCAUUUGCACAUUAGACCCUUGGGAGGAGCUCACCGGAGAACAACAAGACCGUGUUAUCCAACAAUUUUCAGAUCAAAUUGCAACAUAAAGAACAAAGCAUUGCAACAUCUGGCAUCACGAGCUACAACAGCAACCAGUUAGGAUCAGGAGAAAGAGGGCAAACACAAGCCUAACAAUGAGUUAUAUCCGGUUUAAACAAGGAUAAAAAUGAGUGUAUUUUACACUCAUCAUGUUGUCUUUUCGCAGCUGUACCGCCUUUAGCGUGUUGUAUUGUUCCUAACACCAAGUCUCCGAGGCCCGAAAAAAUAAGGAAAGUGGUAGCAGCUCAGAAAUCGACUAAGUUUCUUUCCCCCUUUGGCUUUCCUACUAGGAUUCGGAAUCCUCUUUCGUAUGACAAUCUUAAUGAUCUCCCAUAGUCCAAAACUCACAAAAACAUCAAAAAUCCACCGAGAAUAAAUUAAGUAAAAAAACAUGCACACACAGAUAAUAAUAGUAAUCAUGUUUCAUUAUGAUUGCUAAGGUCAGACACAAUACAUAAACAUAUUAGACUGAGUGACCCACCUCACCUCAGAGUAUGCACCAUGUCUGAGUGACCCACCUCACCUUGCCAGGACACUGGUCCUGCCCUCGUGGUUCACGCGCCCUCGUGGUUCAGCAGUGGUCAGUACACAAAUCUAGCUGCCAGUCGGAUCCAAGGGCAGGCAUUUGCAUUGUGGUUGUGUUUGAACAUGGAGAUGUCAUUAUUAUUGUCAGGCACCAUACAUCCUCUCUCAGUUUCACUCCGCCUCACACACGGAUAGCACACCAGGGACCCGACACCAUGCAUGCCGAUUUCAUAUUAUUAAUAUUUAAUUUUUUUAAUGGUUGUUGAAACUAUAUUGUUGAUAUUUUUAUACAUAAUUUACGACCUAAUUUGGAUAUAUUUUUGAAAUAUUCCGAAAUCUUAAAUUCACACGUCUAGAGAUACAGUUAGUCCAAUCUGAUGUUUCCGAUUAUAAAAAUGAACAUAAAGAGAUAGGAAGCGAGAGACGUGAGGGGGAAAGUUAAAUUAGGGCCUAAGGGGUGAAGUUAGGGUUCCAGGUGAGCUGUCAUCACUACGUGUUUUUAAUCGAAAUUGGAAUGUCAGCAAUCGUCAGAUCUUGAGCCAACAGUUGAGACUGCCUCGGAAUGGUAAUUAGGUCUGCGCGAGCUUGCAUUGUGGCCUUCCUUGAAACCUUGGACAUAGGUGUUAUAUUAUUAUGUUCUUGCCAGCACACAGCAGUGAAGGACGACACAGUUGAGAUGUGCAUCACAUUUUCUAUAUGAAGGAUAUGUUUAGCAAACCUAAGAUUUUAGAAUAAAAAGAAAAAUCAUGGGAGCCAAAGCGCCACAUAGUUCUUCCAGGUAAAAAAAAAUCAUCCACUGGACCAGCACAUAGUAACGAUCCAAAAAGUCCAUAUUAAGAUUUUUUGAUAGCAGAAAAAACAUAAAAUGUCUAAUAUUUGUAGUAUUAAAAGGAAAAAUAAUAUAUUCACGUGACCUUUUUCCCGUAGCAAGGCACCGGUACGUGGUCAGACUUAAUGCACGAUGCCUAAGCAUCCAUUGGGCCUACCCUCGUGUGGAUCACGCGCAACAGGACACGGCUCACAAGCUAUGAUGUGCAGCAGUCGCUCAGAUGGCUGAAAGGUACCCUUAAUUUGAAUGGUACCAUAUAUAUAUAUAUAUAUAUAUAUAUAGUAAACAAGACAAACCACCGUUGAUACUACUUUGCACUACUUGAUACAUAUAUCUCCACCAAAAGCGAGGCACGUGGGGAGGAGAGAUAUGUGGUUGAUGGUGCGGGCACGUGGCGAGUGCACCGUACGAAAAUUUUGCUCGUGUCGGACGACUGAUGUGAAGCAUUACCCAAUCUUAAUUAUCUCCCAUAAUCCAAAACUCACAAAAACAUCAAAAAUCCGCCGAGAAUAAAUUAAGUAAACCAUGCACACACAGAUAAUAAAAUUGCUAAUAAGGCCAGAGACAAUACAUAAACAUAUUAGACUGUUCAUGACACAUAUCACGGUGGAUAGUGUCUGUGUCCUUAUUACAAGCAAUGAGAGAUGCUUGUCACCACACACACGCGCACAGAUGCACAACAUACAUAUAGUUGAGACCAACAGAUGGAUCAACUAGAGGUCACCCCAUAUGGUGAACAAUUUAUUGGAGAUAAACAUUAACAUAACUUGGCCAUAGCUUGAAGCAUAGCAACAUAUGCCUAUGAACGGCGUUCAUGCUAUCAUUUUAGGCUUGUCCGCUUCUUCCAUCUUAGCAAGCACUUCCAUUUCUACCAUCUUAGAAGCAACUGUCAAAUUGAGAUAUGGAAAUCCCAUUAGCGCAUGAGUUAAUUUUGCAGUGAAAAUAGAGUACAAGAUAUCUUCAUGAUGUAAGUAACAUGCCUGAAGUUGUGAGAUGGGAAGUGAAGUCAACAAAUUACAUUAACGGAAAUGCAUGGAAGGCCACACAUACGUAUUAGUCCAUGAUAUGCUACAAAGCUUGUAUGUACAUAUAGCAAAUUAAAUGCAUUAAUUGAAUAGAGUGAGUUUAGUGAAUUUACCAGAAUCGUCCAGAAAACAUGGGAAACAGCAAGUGUUCUUGCAGACUGCGUCGGUGCCACCCACAGCAAUACAACCAAAACAACAUGCUUUUGCCCGAGCGGCUGCGCAGCAGCCGCACUCUGCCGCGGUGGCCGAGUUAGCAUUGAGGCUCAAGAUGACCAGGCACAUGAUCACCAUCAAAGCGGUGGUAGUCCUCUUUCCCUCCAUUGCCUCCUCUUGCUGCUACCUUCCUUGGUUACCUAGCUAAGUUUAUUGGUUUUGUGUUGAGAGGUGAUUCUUGCAUUGAAUGGACGUUGCCGCGGCUGCAAUUUAUAGGCAGCUGCGCUAUGUGAUGAUAUGGACAAGGUGCAAAUGGGUGGUCCUGAUAUGGAUAAGGUGCAUGCGAAUGGCUGUCUACUUGUAUAGUGGCGCUCCAAUGUACAUACGUAUGUAUCUUAUGCAUGUAUACAGUUGAUGGAUGUACAUGUUUGUUGCACAAAUUAUUCUGAACCAACUCUUCAUAACAGGUCUUUGUUACCAAGUAAUUUUACUUUUGCACGUUUCAGCCGAGAGGCAGAAGAGAAUAUUUUACAGAGAGGGCAGAGAAGGAGGUUGGCGGAGGCGCCGUGGUAGGGUUCCCCGUGUCGCCAAGAUUUUUGCAUUUUAGAUGUGUGUAUUGAUCACUUCGUCGUGCUCGCGGGGCCCAACUCCAGGUUGUACCCCAGCAGACCACGUUCUGUUUCUCUGCCUCCAAUGAGCAUGCAUGCCUCCACAAGGACCACAAGACUUAGUAAAAAAGCUAAACUUUGCAACACGAUGUAUACAGAACGUUUUGAAAUGUACUCUCGUUAGGCAUUCACCUCCUUAACAAUCACUGCGACUGUAAAAGAGGUACAUCGACGCUAGCUAAAUAAACCACUAUAAGAUUUAGCAAGAGAUCAUUUUAUACAAUCCUGUAACGAAACAAUUUGACAAUUAUAGUGUCCAUAUAUUUUGACAAAAAAACGUUUAAAUUAUAUAAGGAGGUGGGCCCGAAAACGGUUGGAUUACAUCGAGAACGUUUUGAAACAGUUGGCGGAGCAGGAUUCUGGCGUGGAGCAUCUACAUUGUCGCGCGCGCGGACUGCCGGAGUAGGCACGCUCGACUUGUCCCAUCGCCAGCUAAAUGAUUUAGUACCGGAUGGUCUCUAGUACCGGUUGGAGCUACCGUCCACCAGGAGCUUUUCUAGUUUGGAACUGGUACUAAUGCUAAUAUUAGUAUCAGGUCAAAAACAAUCGGUACUAAGGCUAGGGAUGACACGUCAUUUUUCUAGUAGUGUGUGCAAUUGGUUUUGUAAUUAGUCUAUAUUUAAUACUUCUAAUUAGUAUCUACACAUUUUAUGUGACAGGGACUGAACUUUAGUCCGUGGAACCAAACACCCCAUAAGUAUGUUUGGUGCUGUAAGGAUUUCGGUUUUAUUUAAUUUCCUAGGCAUUUAAAUUUCUUUCUAAAAUAAGUUAAUGAAUCAUAGGAUCUCAUUGUUGUAUUCAAGCUGGUGCAUUGAUUUUGCCUAUAAAACCCGCCGCGGUCUUCGCAGCCCCCAUCAAACCCUAGCGCCCUUGCCACAAGCUCAGCACCGCUGCCGCCCGAGCUCGAGCACUAGCACCCACCCAUCGCCGUUGCCUUCCCGUCGAUGGGAUCACCGCCCGGAGCUUCGCAUCGUGGUAAGGAAGCCGCCCGUGAAGAUCCCAUGUGCUCCUAUGCCCUCUACCGCGUCCCCGAGUUCCCGGAGUUGCUAGUCUCCCACCGAGCCGACUCUCCGAGCUUCACGUCACUGGUGCCGCUCCGAAGACCUAGUUCGGUUCGCCAUGCACCUCGCUUCAUCCUGAGCUAAACCCCAUAAUGAAUGGUGGUCGGAUGCUCGCCGCCACGGCGCGUCGUCUUUUCUGUCGCCCGUGCAUUGCCUAUCCCCUUCCAGCCGAUUGCAGCUGUCCGAUCGCAAACCGGUGGCCCUGAUCGGAUACCAAGGUCAAUACCGGUCGAACCGAGCCGUGCGCUGCUUUUGCAAGAAGGCCCCUGUUUUUCUCUCUUUUUGCACCUGAGGUCCUACGCAGUUCAAAAGUAAUAAGAUCUAGGUCCUUUUUCUUUUGUUUUAGCCCGUGUUCUUUUAUAAAAUCCCGCCCACUAUUCUGUUUGGUCUUUUGACGCGUUAGACCUUCUUUUUAUAUGUUUAAUUAGGUUUUAGGUCUCGAUUUCUUUAAGUUUAGCCCUUGAAAGUUUAGUUCUCUCGCAGUUAAGCCCCUGAACCUUGUUUAGCUCAUAUCUUAAGCGUUUUAAAUCCGUUUUAACAGAUUCUUGCGCCUAUAAGUUCAUGUUGACGCAUAGAUUAGUUGACUUAUACGAACCUUGCUGAUUCAGCUCCUUGAUUGUGCUUCAGAUCUCGCUAGGGAAGAAUAAUGGAUGGGCUUUGGUUGAGCUUGUAGAUCGACUUGCAGUUGCAGUGAAUGAGCAGAGGAUUGGCAGUGAAUAAGAUCAGGCCGCUGCCCUGCUUGGUAGGGAAAAUAUCUGCUUGCUACCAAGGCCUGUGACGCAUGGACCCCAUUGAGAGUGCAUUAUUGACAAGGACUUAAAGCCAAGGGCUCCACACCUGUCAUUGAUCAGCUGUCUGCUGGGCGCUGCAAGGAGGUAGUGCAUGUUUGACAUAAAGAAGCAGGUGGCCCAGGAUUUACGAAAAAUAAGGAUCUAUUUGAUACCCUUGCUUAUAUUUAGGGGCUAAAAGUUGCUUAUUUGAAGUUGCUUAUUUUUAAUCCUAGCUGUUUGAUUGCAUGGGCUAAAGAGCAUUGAAUGAGGUGGAUAUUGUCAUGUUUGCCUCUAAUGAUUGCUUCCCAUCACAUUUCUCCCCCCUCAUUCAACGAGGGAAGGAGGUGUAAAGUGCACCUUUUAGCCCCGAUAAGUAACCCUUGUGUUGUUUACGGGCUGAACAUAAGUAGCUAAAGUUUAGCUCCAAUAAACAAGAGUGUUUGGUAUUUUUGGGGUUAAAAGGGGCUAAACUUUAGCUGCUUAUGCAUAAGCAAGGCCAUCCAAAUAGGCCCUAAGUAUGUUUGGCGUUGUAAGUAGGUUUUAUUUAAUUUCCUAGGCAUUUAAAUUUCUUUCUAAAAUAAGUUAAUGAAUCAUAGGAGUUCAUUGUUGCAUUCACGCUGGUGCAUUGAUUUUGCCUACAAAACCUGCUGCCGUUUCCGCAGCUCCCAUCAAACCCUAGCACCCCCGCCACGAGCUCCAGCGCCGCUGCCGCCCGAGCUUGAGCACUAGCGCACACCCAUCGCCGUCGCCUUCCUAUCAAUGGGAUCACCGCCCGGAGCCCGUGUCAUGGUAAAGAAGCCGCCCGUGAAGAUCCCGUCCACUCUCGUGCCCUCUACCGCGUCCUCGAGUUCACCGGAGUUGCCAGUCUGCCACCCAGCCGCCUCUCCGAGCUUCAUGUUGUCGUUGCCACUCUAGCUGCCUCUCUGAAGACCUAGAUCGGUUUGCCGUGCACCCCGCUUCAUCCUGAGUUAAACCCCAUCAUGCCACGUCAUAGUAAGGAAGCUGCUCAUGAAGAUCCCGUGCGCUCCCGUGCCCUCUACCGCGUCCCCAAGUUCACUGGAGUUGCUAGUCCACCACCGAGCCGCCUCUCCGAGCUUCACUUCACAGUCGCUGCUCCAGCCACCACUCUGAAGACCUAGAUCAGUUCGCUGUGCACCCCACCUCAUCCUGAGCUAAACCCCAUGACGAACUGUGGUCGGAUGCUCAUUUUCGAGUGAAUUCCGGCGAGAUGGUCGCCCGCCGCCGCCAUCUCCAUCGCCCAUGCACCGCCUGUCCCCUUCCAGCCGAUGUCCGAUUGCAAACCGAUAGCCGAAAUCGGAUGUGGUCACCAGGAUUAAUACCAGUCAAACUAAGCCACGCGUGCCGCUUUUGCAAGAAGGCCCCUAUUUUUCCCUCUUUUUGCACUUGAGGUCCUAUGCAGUUCAAAAGUAAUUAGAUCAAGGUCCUUUUUCUUAUGUUUUAGCCCUAUUCUUUCAUAAAAUCCCGGCUGCCAUCCUGUUUGAAAUAGAUACGGUUAUAGAUAUGCAAACAUCUGCAUAUUUCCAACCGUAUCUCUUUCGAACGGGAGACGCCUAACUAGGUUACGUGACAUACGAACAUCAUACGGAUAGAGAGGGGUAGGAUGUCUCACCUUGCUAUCCUACAAAGUGACGACUCGAGGACAGUAAUGUAGCCUCUCCUUCAAAAAAAGAACAUACUACUAUCAAGUUAAAUUUUUGACAGCACCUCCCCUGCACGUGGAGGUUUCCAUAACCUGCAUCAAAUAAAACGGCACGAUGGCUGACAACCACAUCUACAGCACCAGAAUGGCACGAUGGCCGACUUCCACAUAAAGUUCUUAUACCUUAGAUUGCCAAGUCAAACAUCCUUUUCUAAUUUCUAAAACAAAAGCCCUCCCACCUCUCUAUCUUAUACUUUCCUAUUUACUAAUUGCUUUUGUAAUUUCUAAUUUCUAUUUCAUCCUACCACCUCUGUACCCUUUUCUCAUUUCUAAUUCCAAUUUUCUAACUUGAAGAGCAAAGAUUGAUUACUAGGAGGGGUGAGGGACGCCGGCCUAGAGAGGCGAGGGGACGUCCGGCGGCGGCGGGUGCGUCGGGGGUAGGAUGCCAGGGGCGGCUGCAGGGGCGCCGGGUUGGGGGCGGCCGGGAUCGAGGGCACCAGUAGCGGGGGCACCGGGCCGGGGGCGGCCGGCGGGGCGGGACGCCAGGGCCGGGGCGACGGGCGCCGGUGGCGAGGCCGCCCGGCCGGUGGUGGCCGGCGUGGCGCCUGGGCCGGGGGGGGGGGGCGGGCGGGGUGCGGCGCGGCGCGCCGGGGCAGGGCGCCGAGGCUGGGUGGUGGGGUACGGGGCGGCGGGCGGGGGGUGGGGGGAGGGUCGGCGGCGGGGCGCGGGGGCGGCCAGCGGCGACGGCGGAGGGCGUCGGUGGUGUUUCGGAAGUGAUACGGAGGGGGUAGAGAGAUUCGUUUUCGCGGCUGAGUGUUCGAGUCAGAAGGCCGUGCGGCUUAAGUCAGGUGGUUUGCCGAGUGCGCGCGAUCUGGCACUCGGCAAAGUCAGAAGUUUUGCCGAGUGUCAGAUCGCGGGCACUCGGCAACUGCAGCUUUUGUCGAGUGCCCUGGAUUCGGCACUCGGCAAAGUGAAGUUUUAAUUUUUUUUAAAAAAAUUUAAUCGGAACACGGGCGUGCCAGCGGGCCCGUGACAUACUUUGCCGAGUGUGUAGCAAAAACACUCGGCAAAAUAUUAUCUUUACCGAGUGUUUUCGCUAGGCACUCGGCAAAGUACACUUAUAUUUCAUGUACACUUUUUCAAUAACGUGUUUUACUAACCUUUUUCUGAUAUACUUGGGAAAAACCUUAUCAAAUUCACUCAACAAUGGAUAUAUGGUUUUUCUACUGACAUUAUUCCAUUAUUUCAUUCAGUUAUAGCUCAAAUUGAAUUUAUAUCUAUUAAAAAUCAAUAAUUGCAUUUAAUAAAUAAAAAAUACCAAACGGAUCUGAAAAAUUUCCAAAAUUUGACAUGAACCAAUCUAUGUUGUAUGUUGCCUGUACAAAAAGCUUUGAAGUCAAACCCCAAUUCAAGUGUCACUUGGACUCCAAAUCUUAUCGGAUCCUUUCUAACUUCUAUGAAUCCUUUCGGGAGAUGAGUCGGUUUGUAAGCAUCAUAUGUCAUAAAUUGGGCGAAACCUUCUCAAUUUUUUACCACAGCCUCCACAUAUAAUAUCAUGACACCUUGACAAAUCUUGUGAUUUUCAGACUUCGUUUGCUUUUUUUAGAAUUUAACAACCAUUCAACCACAUGUUCGUGAUCGUGUUUUCUAAAAAAAUGUUCAAAAUUUCUUUUCAUUUCCUGGUUGAGACCUCAAUCCGGAUUGAAUAAUAUGAAUAUGAUUUUUUCACUGAUUUUAAUCCAUUAUUUAAAUCACUUGCAGUUAAAUUUGACUUAAAUAAACAAAUUCCUAUUAAUGCUAUCAAUUCAUUAAAAAUAGCAAACAGAGAAAAAAUAGACCAACUUUUAAGAUGGAUUACCAAAUGUCAUAUGUGGGGAGUAGAAAAAGUGUGGAGAGCAGAGGUGGAAAAAAAAGUUUUGCCUUUGCCAAGUGCCUACACAAACACUCAACAAACUUUGCGGAGUGCCUAUUGAAAACACUCAGCGAACUUCUGAGUUUGCCGAGUGUCUGGAGGGAGCACUCGGCAACCUACUUAUUUGCCGAGUGUCCGCGUCGGACACUCAGCAAAGUACUAACGGCUGGCACACUCCCCUAACGGACGGCGCACGUGCAAGCCAUGUGCUGGAGAUUUAUCGAGUGUCAAAUCGUUGCCGAGUGUCGUGUGGAUGUUUGCCGAGUGUCUUAUUUGUGACACUCGGCAAAGCUAUUGUUUGCCGAGUGUAUUAUUUAUGCCGAGUGUCUUCCAGUAUACACUCGGCAAAUGAUGUCUUUGCCGAGUGCUCGACAUAAAGCACUCGGCAAAAAUUUUACACUCGGCAACAUUCCUGUUUCCGGUAGUGAGUGACCCGGGACUAAAGACCCCCGUUGUCUCUGAUUGCUUUAUUCCGGAUGGAUUUUCAGGAGAUUUGCUCCCUACCAAUAGGGACUAAAGGCAAGUUUUCCACUUAUAGCAAACCAGUUAGCCCAUUGUUGAUGGAACGCAUCACUAGAAACAGCUCGGGAUCCACUUGUCCAAUAAUCGAGAGGGCCUAUAUAUGGACCACGUGUGCGGAUCCCUAAUUAGGAAAAAAGAAUAAUGGAGUAGGACAUCUCCAUGCUCACCUAGUAGCCGCUGCUAGCUUGUGCGUGUGGAACACGAGUGCCGGCCCAGUUGGCGCUAAGACAUCGUACGUGCAUUAAGGCUACGAUCUCUUUCUUCUAACUCAUGCUUGUGCUAUUAUACAUUAUUGCAUGAUCAUCAAGAUAAGAUCGUAUAGUGACUGAGUGAGACAUGUAUGUACUAACAUGCAUUUAAGCCUCGAACUGUGUGUUGUUACGUGAGCUGCCUCCUCACCUCGCCUCUGAAUUAUUGAACCGUUUCCAACAGUGUUGGUCUCAAAUAAAUUUGACACCAAACAGAUUUAUGAAGAAGAGAGAAUAAUACUUGGAAUUGGAAAAAGUUUAUCUCUCUUUACAAUGGAGUAGGGCUCCCUUUUAUAGUGACCCAUAAGCCACUUUACAUUUGGAAAAUGUCCUUCCUCAACCACUACAUUAAUUCCUAGGAUAUGCUGUACAUAAAGGUCAUUUGAGGUAACGUGUACAAAUGAACUCUUCCACAUGGUCACGUUUCUCAUGCCUCCUGUUUUCCAACCUCGAGACAUCAUCUUCACGCCAAGUUGAUCAUCUAGCCUCGAGGCUCCAUCCACGAUCCAGAAUGAACGUCCAGGCUUGAGGCUCCUUCUUCGUUAAGCUUUGUUGAGAACUCAUAACCUCACAUAGUUCUCCUCCGAGUAUUGUUCCCGACUCAGAACACUCGAGGUUUAGCUCAGUUGGAGUUUAGCUAUUACUGUUGCUAGUCACCAGCCUCGAGCCCCUCCAGAAGCAAGGUGAUGCGAGGGUACGAGUUUUACUAUUAAAGGUGUUUCCAUAGAAUGUGCGAGGUUAAAGCACUUGCAGCAAAAGCGUGGAGCUGCUUUCAACCAGAGUGCAAUAAUGCAGCCGUGCCCAUCUUGGUCUUGGUCUCCGCCUGAACUAUAGCAGAUGCUGGCAGCGGUAGCAGGGUGGUCCAUUAUAUCUAUGGAUGGCAAUGGUCGGAUUCGGAUGGAAUCGAAUUCGAAUAGCACUUUUUACCACAUACUAAUUCAAAUCCGAAUUCGGAUUCGGAUGUUCUCGAAUGCGAAUGCAAAAUGGAUGGUUCGAAUUCGAAUACUUAGCGGAUUUUUGCAUAAUAUUAAUCGAAUAGAAUUCAUUAAAUUUAGCCAAGAAAUUAAAUUUUCUGAAAUUAAAUACUUUCCCUUCGCCCCAGCGGCGGCCUAACUCCCAGGACGGUGGCGUGCGGGGCCCGAGCAUCCCUGGCCUCUAGUGGCGUGGCGGGGCGGCAUCCAGCAGCAGCGGCGGGGCUCGGCCUCCGGUGGCGCGCGGCCAGCCCGACCUACCCGGUCAGAGGUGGCGCAGCGGUGCGCGGGCCUCCCCGACCAGAGCCGGUGGGGAGCGGUGCGCGGGGAGGACCUCCCCAGCCGGAGGUAGCAGGGCGCGACCUCCCCGGCCGGAGGUGGCUCCCUGUGGGGGCGCGGCCGUGACAGCUAGCGAGGCAAUAAUUGCUUCCGUACGCAGCAAUAAUUGCUUGUGCGACACCGUGUUAUUACUCUGGUACAGUACUCCCUCCGUUGCAGUACACUGGUCCAGGCGUCAGGACACUGCUCCUGCCCUCGUGGUUCACGUGCAUCAGGCCAGCAGACAAGCUAUGAUGUUGCCAACAGUGUUUGUUUGAACAUGGAGAUGUCAUUGUGAUUGUCAGGGACCCGACACCAUGCAUGCCGAUUUCAUAUUCUUAAUAUUUAUUUUUUUAAUGGUUGUUGAAACUAUAUAGUUACUCCAAUAUCACGUUUCCGAUUAUAAAAAUUAACAUAAAGAGAUCGGAAGGGAGAGCCCGCAUAAUGAAGCCGACGCGUAUAAUAAGCACUAGAGCCGGCAUUUAUACAAACGGGUACGCAUAGUAAAAACUAGAAUUUAUAAAUAAAUGAAGAUAUUCAAAUAUCUGGCUUACUUUUUUCAUUAAUUUUGCAUGAAUAAGGGAUGAUUCAUUAAUCAUUAUUGAACAAAUUGGCACACAUGCUUCGUGCCCGCGUUGUGAGCAUUAUGCGAUGCCACUGAGCUGCACCACCACGGUAGAGGGCCUGUUUGCGAUGCCACCGAGCUGCACCACCACGGCAGAGGGUCUGUUUGGGAAGGGGAAGUUAAAGUUUAACACCCCCCAUUUAACACCUUUUUAACAAAAUGGCUGCUAAACACUUGUGUUAAAAGAGUAGUGUUAAAAUUUAACACCUCUCUUUUCAUAAACACAUGGAGGGGGUGUUAAAAUUUGCUAAAUGUGUUAAAAGUGGUCCCCUCCCCACUUAUUCCUUGGUUGCCCCCCUCUCUCUCCUCCUCUCUCUCCUACCCGCCGCAUUUAAGAGCAUUAUUGAGGGGUAAUGCAGUCCUUUUCCAACAAAAGUGUUAAACUUUAACAACCCUUCCCAAACAUGCCACAAGCAACACCACCGGCUGACUGUGCUAGCGGGGAGCACCCUCACCGCCUGCCCGUGGGGACUUCUUCUGCCGGCCAUCGUGUCUUUGUAGGACCGCCGCGUGAGCCUAUGAGCCACCGGUGGCCGUGCGCCCAAGGGCCAUCACCAUGCCACCUGAGGAUGCUGUCUACCCGGUGCCGCGUGCCUCUGCUAGCUGCUUGCACCUGGGCCGCCGCUGGUCGCCUGCACAGCCACGCGUUACAGCCGCCCCCCUGCGCUGGGCCACCCCAUUUCGUGUUGGAAGAACUGCCACAGUCUCGCGCACUGGGGUUUUGCUAGUGACGACCAUAGCCUCCAAGAUCAAAUGAAAAAGUUGGUACUCAAAACAUACAUCCAUUAAUCUAGUCGUGCUAAUCCUUACCACCAAAUAAAAACUAGCAUGUGUUGUGUUUUUGUGACCCUAAACGAUCACAAAUGAAUAACUUAUGGGCGUUGCUAGCCUAUAAGUUAUGGGCGUUUGUGACCCUAGUCGCGCCGGGGUCUUGCUGGUGACAACCAUGGUCUUCGCGAUAAAGUAUUAAGUCUCAUCGAGUUCUACAAUUUUGAUAUAAAAUUUCUAUUCAUCCGAGAUCAAAUGAAAAACAAAUGAAAAAAUCCGAAGUAUUAGGCUUCAUCGAGCUCUACAAUUUUGAUAUAAAAUUUCUAUUCAUCCGAGAUCAAAUGAAAAAAUCCGAGAUCAAAUGAAAAGUUGGAACUCAAAACAUACAUCCAUUAAUCUUGAUAUAAAAUUUCUAUUCAUCCGACAUCAAAUGAAAAAGUUGGUACUCAAAAUAUACAUCCUUUAAUCUAGUCGUGCUAAUCCUUACCACCAAAUAAAAAAACUAGCAUGUGUUGUGUGUUUCUGACCGUAAACGAUCACAAAUGAAUAACUUAUGGGUGUUGCUAGCGUCCCGGACGCUAGCAUCGGACGCAUGAGCAGCCGUCCGAUCGGGUCCGACACCACUUCACGAUCUGUCUUAAAAAAAAGUCCCACCGAAACAUUGUUCCAUGUUGCAUGAAAUACCCCACUAUCCAUCGCCAGGUCUACAGCAAGCACCACCUUCCAAUCUGCUGCUCACCCAAGCUAAAUAGGGGCAUUAAAAUUGCAGAAAUAUGUCACAUAUCCUUGUCAAAUUAAACUAAAUCGCAACAUCCGAAAAUUUCUUACACAAAACCAUGAAACAUAUCGAUUAGAUAGGUGUAACAAGAUGGAAUAUGGUAUCCAACAUAUAGAUUCCGAAAAACAGAUGAAACAUUAUGUAACGAUUGUUGAAACAGUCGAGAAAUAUAGAUGUAACGAUUAAAAUUUAGAAAAGAAGCUUUAUGCAAAUUGCAAAAAGCUGAAAUAAGUGGUUGAAACAUUUCGAAUCACCAAAUGCCACAUUUGAAAUGGCUACAUGAAACAUCACGAAAUCAAUUGCAACAGUUGAAGAUGAAAACAUUCAAAUGCCUUGCCUUUCUCCAGAUUUGACCCUCCAAGCAUGAGUCCAGCCAUUUGCACAUUAGACCCUUGGGAGGAGCUCACCGGAGAACAACAAGACCGUGUUCUCCAACAAUUUUCUGAUCAAAUUGCAACAGACAAAACAAAGCAUUGCAACAUCUGGCAUCACGAGCUACAACAUCAACAAGUUAGGAUCAGGAGAAAGAGGGAAAACACAAGCCUAACAACCCCAAGACAAAACUGAUGUACUCAUCAUACAUCACGGCUUGCCGUGCACAGAGAUGAAGGCCGCCAAGCUCAAUCGAGACAGAGACGACGUGAUAGUGCUCCAGAUCGACGGUCCCCAUCAAUUGUUGCGUACACUGCCAAAAGCAAUGGAAGAAGAAGGGUCGUCCCUGCUCGACCUCCGUAGAUGAGCGCAGAUUGGGGGAAACCGUAUAGAGUGCCGCUGACAGCACAGGCGAGGGGGCUCAGGCUUGAUUCAGGGUGAGGGUAGCGGGUAGCAUGAGGAGACAGUCAGGUUUCAUAGGAGAGAGGCGGAGUAGAGAGCUCUGGUGACUCGGUGAGGAGGGUGCGGCACGGAGAAAGGUGUGUAGCUGAAGGAGCUACAUGGUUGGGGCGAGGCGAGCGUAGAGACUAGAGAGGGAAAAAAAGCAUGGGGAGGAGACGAUAUGUGGUUGAUGGUGCGGGCACGUGGUGAGCGCACCGUAUGAAAAUUUUGCUCGCGUCGGAUGACUGAUGUGAAGCAUUACCCAAUCUUAAUUAUCUCCCAUAAUCCAAAACUCACAAAAACAUCAAAAAUCCGCCGAGAAUAAAUUAAGUAAACCAUGCACACACAGAUAAUAAAAUUGCUAAUAAGGCCAGAGAUAAUACAUGAACAUAUUAGACUGUUCAUGACACAUAUCACGGUGGAUAGUGUCUGUGUCCUUAUUACAAGCAAUGAGAGAUGCUUGUCACCACACACACGCGCACAGAUGCAUGACAUACAUAUAGUUGAGACCAACAGAUGGAUCAACUAGAGGUCACCCCAUAUGGUGAACAAUUUAUUGGAGAUAAACAUUAACAUAACUUGGCCAUAGCUUGAAGCAUAGCAACAUAUGCCUAUGAAUGGCGUUCAUGCUAUCGUUUUAGGCUUGUCCAGCUUCUUUCAUCUUAGCAAGCACUUCCAUUUCUACCAUCUUAGCAGCAACUGUCAAAUUGAGAUAUGGAAAUCCCAUUAGCGCAUGAUUAAUUUUGCAGUGGAAAUAGAGUGCAAGAUAUCUUCAUGAUGUAAAUAACAUGCCUGAAGUUGUGAGAUGGGAAGUGAAGUCAACAAAUUACAUUAACGGAAAUGCAUGGAAGGCCACACAUACGUAUUAGUCCAUAAUACGCUACAAAGCUUGUAUGUACAUAUAGCAAAUUAAAUGCAUUAAUUGAAUAGAGUGAGUUUAGUGAAUUUACCAGAAUCGUCCAGAAAACAUGGGAAACAGCAAGUGUGCUUGCAGACUGUGUCGGAGCCACCCACACGAAUACAAAGCUGACAACAUGCUUGUGCCUCGUGGGAUACGCAGCAGCCGCACUGUGCCGCGGUGGCCGAGUUAACAUUGAGGCUCAAGAUGAACAGGCACAUGAUCACCAUCAAAGUGGUAGUCCUCUUUCCCUCCAUUGCCUCCUGUCGCUGCUACCUUCCUUGGUUACUAGUAAGUUUAUUGGUUUUGUGUUGAGAGGUGAUUCUUGCAUUGAAUGGACGUUGCCGCGGCUGCAAUUUAUAGGCAGCUGCGCUAUGUGAUGAUAUGGACAAGGUGCAAAUGGGUGGUCCUGAUAU